AGUAAGCAAGAAAAAAAAAUAAGGGCAGACUUCAAAUACCACUCCUGUGAUUUCGUAUUUUUUUAUUUUAGUAUCCUAUAGUUUAAAGUGUAUCAAUUUAGUACCUUAUAAUUUUAUUUUAUUUUAUUUUUUUCGUCAUCACCUCCGUUAACAUUUGGUAAAAUUAUAUACAAAAAAGUAUAAAAUACCCCACCGAAAUUUACUGAAUAUUCAUUUUAGCAUCUUUUAAUUUUAACUUUAUCACUAAUUUAACGAAAAAAAAAAAUAGUGGAAGGGAUAAUAAAAAGAGAAAAGUGAAACCACGGGAUACUAAAUUGAUACGCUUUAAAUCACAGGAUACUAAAGUGAGUAAGUGCGAAACCACAAGAUAAUAUUUGAAGUUUUCCGAAAAAUAUGGACCAAAUUGUAAUUUUACAAAAGAUUAAGGUUUAUAAAUAAAAAUGGUGGCGAUGGUUCUCUUCUUUAAUGAGGAGUAUGAGAUAAGCACACAAUGGGUAAUAAAAGUUGAUGUAGCAAAUCAAAGUGUAUAAAGAGGACAAAUUUGUGUUCUCGAGGACUCUCAUAUGAUUAAUUGUAUUAUAUUUUGUAGCUUUAAUAUAUAAUAAGUCUCAAAUCUCUUUGAUGUUGAUUCCUCAUAAGAUUUUGUGUUUGGUUCCCCAGAAAAGAAAAAAAAAAGUUUUUUGUUUGAAAAGUAUUUUUCGACAGUUUGAUUUCCACAAAAAAAAAAAAAAAAAUUCUAAAAAAGGUUUUUUUUUUCUUUCAGAUUUUAUGAAAAUGUCUUUUUUUUAUUUGUUUUCUGAAACUUUUAUCCAGCAAAAUAAAAAUUAUAAAAGAUAAUGUUUUAUUAUUAAGGAAAAUAGUACCAUUCUUAAAAAAAAAAAAAAAAAAAGGUUGGAAUGAGAGAGGAAUCCUUUAUUAAAGGGUUAAUUUUAUAAGGAUUCCUGCAAACAUAGUGAAUAACAAAUAUAUCCCUAUAAAGUUUAAUUUUUAUAUAUUGUUUCAGCAAAAGUUUUAAUAUUUUUAAAUAUGUUCUGCUGAUUUAUUAUCGUUAAAGAACCGCCAGAAAACUGUUUAUAUUUUCAAUUUUAUCAUUACAAAUAUGUUCCUUAAAAAGUCAUAACAAUAUAAUAUAAGAGAGGUAAAAAUGUCAAAAAGUAACUAAGGUUAAGUAUUUAAUCUAUAGUUAACUAAAUUUUUCUAACAGAUUCUAACGGCAGAGACAUAUUUGAAAACAUCAAAAUUUUUACAGAGAUAACAUAUGAAAGUUGAACUUUGUAGAGAUAUAUUUGCAAUUUACUAUAUUUACAGGAACCUGUAUAAAAUUAACCUUAAAUUUAUUAAAUAUGAGAAACUAUACAUGCUUUAUUAGAAAAUUCUCAUCUAGUCCAAAAUCCAAAUAUAUACAUAUUGUGAUAUAAUUUUUGGAGCCUACUUACCUAAAAGCUUAAGCCUUUAUUACUCUUUAGACUAUUAUUGAAACUAAAACUACCAAAACUACUGUUACCUUUGAUUGGAGUAGAAAAACCUAAACUAAGCUACUCAGUUCUCGUUACGAACACGAAAGUAUUUUUGUUUUUGAAUCGCGCAAAUUAUUUAUAUAUUGUUGUUGCAGAAAAUGAGGGGUCUCUCCUUCAUCAUAUGUUUCUAUGGCCUGCACACUCUAAUUAAAUCCGAAUUCGACUUUUCUAAUAAGCAUGAAUAUGAAAUUAAUAAAAAUAAAAUUAUGAUAAUUUCCGCCGAAUAUUCCAAAAAUCAAAAUCCUAAAGAAGAUUAUAUCGGAUGACCGAAAUAUCACGCUAACAAUAGUCUUUUAUUCAAAAAAAAAAAAAAAAAAAACAAUAGUCUUUUAUUUUGUUUUUCCUGUGAGUCAAUAGAUUCUUCUUUAAACGUGACCUUGACUAUUGCGCCACCAUUUAUUCAGUGGCCCCGUAGCUUUUAAUAAAAGUAAUCAAUAGUUUUUAAAUUAUUAUGUUGGAAAUUUGCUACAUUAUAUUGAUACAGGAUUUUCUCUGGCACUAAUUUGUUAUGACAAAAGUGAAAAAAAUUUAGUUCGUCGAGCGUGAAAAUAUCAAAAAAAAAAAUUGAGAAAGAGAGAGAGAAAAAAUAACCCACACAAAUACUUUUGCGGUUCAACCACUGACCUAUGCCUACGGGCAAAGAUGCAAUAGAGAUUUUCAUUAUAAUUAGAAUAGUAUACAAAAAUAUGUCUCUCUCACAAAAUUUUAGUCUAAAAAGAUAUACGCGUACUUCUUCUCGUUUGCUUAACCAAAUUAAUAGAAUAAAGGCGUAAUUAUAAUAGUGACUAAACCCUAAUAAGAUUAGAAAUACAAAUCCCCUAAGACUAGAAAUAACCUCAAUAAGAUUAGAUAUAAUCUAAACUUAACUUAAUGAAUAGUCAGAACAAAACAAGGUUUUAGAAAACUUUACAGUUCCAGAAUUCGAGACAUAUAUAUCUUACAAUCUUCAUAUUGACUUGAAUUUUAUUUGUCUUCUCCACUAAAUCUCCAAAAGCUCGUGAAAUGCUGCUUUUCAUACAAAUCAAGUUUAUAAUUUCAGAAUUCAAGAUACAUUUAACAUUUCAGCUCUAAUACCAAUUAUUAUAAAUAGAUCCGGCCUAAUCAAAGCCCAUAUGCCCAAGAGUGUUACAUAUCUGACAUAUUGACUGUUUCAUAUUAUUUAACAUGCUAUCAAAAUAGAAUGUUCCGAGUUCGAAUCAUACGCGAUAAGUAGAAAUCUUCUGCACUAUAGAUUUCCCACUUACUCUCCUAUAACUUAGUGGGGUUCCCAACUAAGAAGUGUAAAGCAAUUGGAAGAAACCAUAAUGAAUUUCAUGAGAAAUAAAUGCAUGCACAUGAAACAAAGUCAAAAGAGGCCACCUUCAUUUUAUCACAAAUAAAGGCAAAUUAUUCUGAUUGGGACUAAUUGUGCCAAUUAAUUUAGGGAUGUUGGGGGGUCAAAUAUGAUAUUUUUUUUACAAUUAAGAGCACAUGUUCCAUUGUGGUCUUAGAUUAAUUUUUAAUUUAUACUUACAUUGUCUUAUUUUGGCUUUGUAGAUGUGUCAUGAAGAUAUGUUCCAAGAAAUCUUUUUCUGACUUAAAUUUGUACUCCAUGGUCUUUAAAAUAUUUACAAGUAAUAAUGAAAACAACAUAAAUAAUUUGUAAACAUAUUGCCUUUUCUUUUUUUUCUCAUUUGUUUAAGAUGUAAAUAUGUAAUGGGGUCAAAGAGCCAAAAAAAAAAACAAACAAAUUGAUGUGAAGAUGUAUGCAUGAAGUGUAACGACCCAGCCCACUAGCAACAAUAACUCAUUGGGUCCAAACCACUAGUCCCCCCCAUUUCCAUCCGAUGUGGGACACCCCCCGUUAAGGCCUUGACGUCCUCGUCAGUCCAAUCACACACAGCCCAAGAUCACCAGGCGAUGUGAGACUCGUCUCGCUAGCCCGUCAUCCAGACCCUGGCUCAGCCAAGACUCGCCACAUAUGUCCAGCUGGUGAACCGGCUCUGAUACCAAAUGUAACGACCCAGCCCACAAGCAACAAUAACUCGUUGGGUCCAAACCACCAGCCCAAAAUGCUUAAGCCUAGUUAUUAUUACUAGUGUCUAAGUCUCUUAUAAACCCAAUGACAACCCCAUUCCCAUUCGAUGUGGGACUAUUGGGGUGUCACAUGAAAAGCCUCUCAACAUUGAUAUACAAUUUUGACAUGAACUUUAUGGACAAUAUUUUCUUUUGUAGUCAUUCCUCAACUCUAUUUAUUUGUUUUGGUUAAACUUAUUGAAUUAAUAAAUUUUAUUCAAAUCACUAUUUCCUUAGCACAUCAAUUUUAUUAAAAUUAAUAAGAAAAUAAAUGUAUCACAGAUACUUCUAUAAAUCUCAUGUGUCUGUGUCAUAUUCGUGUCUGACGUGGACAUGCCAUGUAUAAAUGCACGUUCGAUACCGGUCCACCUAUUGAAAUAAUAUAUAAUUUUUUAUUUUAUUUUGUUUAUGCUUAUGCAUAGAUAUAAUAUAAGAUAAUAACUCUUUUGGCUUUUUGAUGAAUAUACAUAUAUAAUUAAUAUAAAUAAAUUAUGUGCGACGGCAAAUUUUUUUUAAAAAAUAUAUGAACUAUCGGUGAAAAAGUUUUAUUAACUAUCAUUUGCAUGAGAAGUGUAAUAAUAAUUUAAAAAUUAAUAUUUUAUAUAUAAUAAAUAUACUAUAACAUAAAUAAAAUUUAUUUUAUUAGCAGUGUCAAGUAUCUGUAUCCCCUUUUUUUUGAAAAUUACCGAAUUACCGUGUUUGAGCCAUGUCGUAUCCAGUGUUAUGUAUUCCAUAUCAGUGUUCGUGAUACUUAGAUAAAAUAUAUAUUUAUUUCAGCUAAAAGUAAUUUUUAUCCUAAAAUCUAACAAAGAAAUAUCAAUUAAUUUAACCACCUAAUUGAAUUUGACUAAAAUAACUCAUAGCAAAAAAAAUAUAAAUUGAGAAGGUGUUAAACAACAAAAAAAAGAAGUUUAGGAGCCUAUUUCAAUUACAAUUAUGCUAUGGUAUUAAUGGAUUAUGAUUAGGAUUAUCAACAAACAAAAACAACAAAUGGGAGACCGCCACCUGGCAUUCCAUUUUGCCUGUUUAUAGAAUAUAUUAUAUAAUUAAUAUAAAUUAAUUAUGAAUGGACAAAUAAUUAUUAAUUUUUUAGGAAAAAGUUCGUAGACAUUUCAUUAAAAAUGUAGAACUUGAUUUCAACAUAGUCCCUUAUAACAAUUAUAAAGAAAUUAAGUAAAUAUCCAAAUCCAGAAAAUAAAAAAAAAAUAUAUAUUUAAAUACGAUGUCCCAAUUAGGAAUGUCAAUGGGUACAUAUAUCCGAAAUUUUAUCGAAACCCGAAUACGAAUAAAAUGAAUUUAUCUUGUAAUGAACGAAUAUACUUUCGGAUACAAAUAUAAAAAAUAAAAAUACGACGGAUUUGUCUGCACCCAACCUGAGCCCAAAUUAAUUUUACAGUAUAUUAUAUAUAUAUAUAUAUAUAUAUAUAUAUAUGUAUUUAAUGUUUUAUUUGAAUUUAUAUAUUAAAAAUUUAGAUUUAACGUAAUGUAUUUUGAAAUAUAGUAAAGAGAAAAAUUGUUUCGAGUUCGGGUUUGGAGUUUAAGAUUUUUGGUCGGAUUCGAAUUUAGAUAUGCAUUUUAAAAAUCUGUCGGAUUCAGAUUUGAAUUUCGAAUUUAAUUGUUAGAUUUGGGUUUGGAUUUCUAAAAACAGGUCCGAAUCCGACCCGUCGGCAUCCUACUCCAAACCUAAACAAUACAACAGAAGGGGAAAGAGGAAGGAAAUAGUCCCCAAACCUACGCAUCAAAAAUAACAAAACAAUUAAACAGAAACUACAAAAAAAAUAUAAAACAAGAAAAAAAAACUUGUUUAAUUUUAAUUUUAAUUUUAAAUUUUAAAAUUUUAAUUUUUUCUGUAUGUGAUACAUAUUUUAAUUUACUUCAUAUUUUGUUUUAAUUUUUAAGGAAGAAUUUUCAUUUUCAAAUUUUAAGUCAAUGUGUUAGAGGACAAUACACACACGACAAAUUUGUUCCACGUCUCACAAAUUCCUCUGAAUUUAAAUUCCAUUUUGAUUUAUCAGUAGAAGCUUCUUCUUCCGGUGAGCUUCUAGAUAAAAAAUGUGCUCUUCGAGAAAAAUAAAAUUAAAUCAAAAAGAAAUAGAAAAAAGAAUUAAAGGAGUUUUGCGUAAUUUUGAAUUUAAACACCUAUCAUCGAUGACCAACUCGACUAUACUGUACCGUGCCAAUAAAAUAUCGACAUAAUAUAUUUUCUUGUGAGCUCAAAAUUUUUUUUUAAAAUUGUUAAAAAUUAUAUUUAGAGCAAUUAAAAUAUACUAUGAUUAAAACGGAAAGAAUCAUAAGGAUCAUUCUUUUUUUUUGGGGGGGGGUAAAAUAUAGAAUAGUCUAUGUAAAUAUCUAUUUUUAAAUUUUUUUCUUCACUUUCAAAAAUCUAUAUUUUAAUAUUUUUAAAAUUUUCAGUUGACGCAUUUAACUCCCAUUCGUAUCGAUUUUUUCACUACUCCGUCAAUUACUUAUAAUUUAUAGCAAAAAUAUUUUUAAAAAUGACAAAAAUAUGUUAACUAUUUUUCUACAAAAUAAAUAAGACCAAUUUGGUCAUUUCAUUUUUCUAUUAAAGCCAUAAUUUUUUUAAAAGAUUUUUAAGAUUGAGGAUACAUGUAAAUCAUAUACUUUGUCCCCUUCUGACAAGGGCAUUUUCGUCUUUUCACCAAACCAAAACGGGAUAUAAAUAGCGGGAGUGGUCACUCUGUGUGUUGUCCCUCUCCCCCUCUCUCUCUCUCUCUCUCUAAGCAACAAUGGCGAUUCAAAUCCGACCACAUCUCCACCCUCUCAUCCUUGUUUUGGGCAUAACAUGAUAGGUUUGAAUCUCUCCAACCAAAUUCUGUUUAUUUUUUGUAAUUUGGGCAUCUUAUAUGCUAAUCGAGGAGUUUGUGCCGAGUGUUGAACAAUUUGAGCGCAAUUUUUUGGGUUUUUUUCCUUAAGAUUUGGGGAAGUUAAUUUCAUAAACCCUUUUGUGGGUUUAUGGAAUUAAAGUUGCUAACUUAACUCUGAAGCCCAUAAAAAUCGCAUUUUUGGAGCAAUUCCAGUGUUUUAUGCUGGAUUUUGAGUUCAAAAAGAGUAGGUGAAGUGAUAAAGUGAUGUUAGUGUUGUAGAAUUGUAUCUGACUUAUUAUCUGCUGUUGAAUUACCUGAGAUGAGACCCCUUUUUUUGUCCUUUUGAAUUUUAAUUAGUGCUUCUUUUGUUCUUUUUUCCGGCUAAAAUGUGUGGACACUCCCCAAAUUUGGGUAAUUUGGAAACGAGUUCUCAAACUAUAAAUUUCUUUUUGAAUAUGUUUUCAUACCCCCAUAGUUUUUUUUUUUUCACUGAUGAAUAUUCUAUGACUUAAGUGGUAUUUUAGUUAAUAGUUCUGUCAUUCUAAUUAAAUUUAAUAAAAAUUUGUAGAAUAUUCCAUUUAAGUUGUGGAAUAUCCUGUUUUAAACGGUUUGUAGAGUGGUAAUUUGGAUGGAAUUUCCUAAAAUUAGUAGAAAAGUUGGGGGUUGAAACUCAAAAUUUAAAGAUUAGAGACCUAUGUCCAAAAUUGGAGGGGUGUGAAUAACCAUUUUAGCUUUCUUUUGUUGCUAGCACUAGGAUUUUUUAUUGUUUGCUAUGGAUCAUUUUUCAUUUAGUGAGAGGUUUAGUAUAUACUUCUAACUUAAUAAUCAUCUAGACAUAUCGAUGACUGGGCAGUUUUUGUGCUGUUAAUAAUACACCUUAAAUGUAUAUUUCCAUUUAUUAAUUUCAAUCUAUAAAAGUACCUUUUGUUUUACUACAACAUAAGGACCUUUUGUUUUACUACAACAUAAGGACCUAUGUUAAAUUACCGAAAACAAAUGAGUGCUGAUUGUUUGGUAUAUCCAACCUUGUCAUAUAAUCCAUCCAACUUUGUUCUUCUUUUUCUUUCAAUGAAAACAACAUUUGUAGAUAGCAUAAUUAGUGCGUUUAUUGAUAGUUGGUGUAGAAAAUAUGAAUCUUUGGCCUUCGGUCAUUAUGGAGGAAGCCGGCUAGUUGUCACCACUACCUUAUAUUUUGUUCAUUCAGAGUAACCUCAGUUCCAUUUGAAGACACUGAAAGAAAAUAAGAUUGGAAGAAGUACCACGAGAAAUCCGUAGCUUGUAUCUCAAACGUCUGAAGUUUCGGCCAAAAUCUAUUUGGAAAUUUUAAACUAUGACAAUCUUUAGAGUUUCAACAAUUUUCUGUAGUUUUAGGAGAGUUCCAGACUUUUUUUUUUUAUCCCCAGAAUAGUGCGUUCCUUUCAACAACUGAAGCUUAUGACAGAGAAAGCAUAUUUCUCAACUCCAAUGUAGGAAAAUUAUCAUCUGUUCUUAGUUUUUGCAUACUCUUGACAUCUCUGACUUUGCUUUUCAAAUGUUGAUUAGGUCUUCUCAGCAUAAAAGUUAUAUCUGUACUUCAUCAGUGAAUUAGCUGCUUUUAAUGUCGAAUAUAUCAUUUUGCCAAUAGCAGUUUUCUUUUUUUGCUUUUUCAAUCAAUAUUCACCUUUAGAUUUUUCUUAUUCUAAUAAUUUUGAAAAGGUUGUUAUUACUUGAAGUCCAUAAACAACUUUUUAAGAACUGCUUAGUUGGUCUAGUUAGCCACCAAGGGAGAAAGUUCAGGAUUAAUUGGAAUUAUGCUUCCACUCGGUUUUAUCUAGGAUAAUGUUGUAUGGAGUUAAAAAUUGUAGGAAGACCCCCUCAAACAAUAGGCUGUAUAGAAAUAGACUUCUAAGUUAGUGUUUUUGUUUGGCACCACCUCAACUCUUUUUUCUUAUCUUACAUUACUUCUAAAUUGUGGAUUUCAUGAAGUUUGCCAUUGAUUCUGUAAAAUAUAAUAGCUCUAGCUACUUUUCAGAUAAUGAAACUCCGGAUUUCAUUAACAUCUAAAGGUAGUGCUGAUCGUCCCUAGUGCAAGUGGCAAAGGGCCCAAUGAUUGGUAUUCGAGGUCUCAAGUGCAAAGCCUAGUUGCUUUAUAUUUUUAGCUAAAUUCAUUUCUGGAAAAAAUAAUAAUAAUAACAAAGCAGGUAGCAGGCUAGUUUUCUCUCAAAAAAAAAAAAAACACUUAACAGUAGUAGCUAAUGAAGCCAUUUAUUUCAAUGAAUCCCUGAUGUAUGUUUGCUAUUAUCAUUACUGUCUUUAUAGCAUCUCUGCACACCAAUAUUUUGAUGAGAUAUUACAAAAACAUACAACUAGAAGAAAAUAUGUCAUCAAAGCAGCUUUCUAGAGUAACUCAAGCAACCAUCCCUUUAAUCUUUUUGUCACCAAGCUGAUUACUAUUGUUAUUUUCUUUCUUUUUUUUUUUUUCACAGGCCUAAGCUGUAAUUUGGAGAGGCGCGGCAAUUUUUGUAUUAUUUUGACCAAAUUAUCCUCCUCAAUGUUAAAAUUAAUCCCUUUCCUCUAUUUCUCCACUUCUCUUUUCUUUAUCCUUCUACCAUUAUCUACUUCUUUGCCACUUGAAACGCAAGCACUCCUCGACAUAAAGAGGCACUUAAAUGAUCCCAUGAACCAUCUUGCUAGCUGGAACAAAUCUAAUUCUCCUUGUCAAUUUUAUGGUGUCACCUGCGACUUAAGUUCCCAGCACGUGAUUGGAAUUGCACUUGCCAAUUUAUCAUUAUCUGGCUCACUAUCGCCCUCUGUUUCUCUUCUACCAAGUUUAGUUUCUCUAGAGCUUGGAGCAAAUAGCUUAUCAGGAAUUGUACCUUCCGAACUUGCCAACUGCACAAAUCUUCAAGUUCUUAAUCUCUCAACAAACAGCUUAACUGGUAAGGUGCCGGAUCUUUCAGCUCUAAAGAACCUUCAAGGUUUUGACCUGUCAACAAACGGCUUUUCCGGUGAAUUUCCAACAUGGAUCGGGGAAUUAUUAGGCCUAGUCGAGCUGGGCCUUGGAGAGAAUAAUUUUGAUGAGGGGUUUAUUCCACAAAAUAUUGGAAAUUUAAAGAAUUUGACAUGGCUCUUCUUGGGACAAUGUAAUCUCAUUGGCGAAAUACCGGCCUCCAUUUUCGAGUUAACUUCACUAGGAACAUUAGACUUCUCCAGAAACCAGAUCUCUGGGAUAUUUCCAAAAGCAAUUUCAAAUUUGCAAAAUCUCUACAAGAUCGAGCUCUUCCAGAACAAUUUGACUGGAGAAAUCCCUCCUGAGCUUGCAAAGCUCACACUAUUAUCUGAAUUUGAUAUUUCUCGCAACCAACUGAGUGGAGAGAUUCCUCCUGAAAUCGGUAGCCUUAAAAAGCUGAAAAUUUUUCAUCUGUAUCGGAACAACUUCUCGGGUGAAAUUCCUGAAGGAUUUGGGGAGCUGGAGUUUCUUUGGUCAUUUUCCAUCUAUGAGAAUAGUUUUUCUGGAAAAUUUCCUGCAAAUUUCGGUCGUUUCUCGCCACUCAACAGCAUAGACAUAUCUGAGAACAAUUUCUCCGGUGAAUUUCCCAGAUUCCUUUGUCAAAACAACAACCUUCAAUUCUUGCUCGCUCUUGAUAAUGACUUUUCGGGUGAAUUUCCAGAUUCUUAUUCAUCUUGCAAAACUUUGCAGAGGUUUCGAAUUAGUCAGAACCACUUCACCAGGAAAAUCCCCGACGGUAUCUGGGGAUUGCCAAAUGCAGUAAUUAUUGAUGUAGCAGACAAUGGUUUUGUUGGAGGGAUUUCUUCAGACAUAGGAGUUUCAGCUAGUCUAAAUCAGUUAUAUGUUCAAAAUAACAAGUUCGUUGGGGAGCUUCCUCCUGAACUGGAGAAUCUGUACCAGUUGCAGAAACUUUUUGCUUUUAAUAACAGCUUUUCUGGCCAAAUCCCUUCUCAAAUUGCCUCCCUCAAGCAGUUAUCAUCUUUGCAUUUGGAAGGAAAUGUCCUUACAGGACCAAUUCCUUCGGAAGUCGGGUUGUGUACUAACCUGGUAGACCUAAAUCUUGCACAAAAUUUAUUGGGAGGUACUAUUCCAGAAACACUAGAUUUACUUACUUCCCUCAAUUCGCUCAAUCUAUCCCAAAACUAUCUCCGCGGCUCAAUUCCAGAGGGUUUGCAAGCAUUAAAGCUAAGUUAUGUCGAUUUUUCCAAUAAUCAAUUAUCAGGAGGGAUACCACCAGAGCUUCUGCUAAUAGCUGGUGAAGAAGCAUUUUCUGGAAAUGACGGGCUUUGUAUUGAAGAGAUUCCCAGAACCCAGAAAUACUCUAGUUUAAGUUUUUGCAAUUCGAAUCAUGGCCGCAAUGGUGUUUUGGGAAGGCGAGUAGUUCUUAUGAUAAUCAUCUUUGUAGUAUUGAUUGUCCUUUUAGCUGGCCUGGCAUUUGUGAGCUAUGAAAGCUUUAAGCUCGAAGAACGUCGCAAAAGGAGAGAUUUUGAUGAGUGCAAAGGAAAAGAUUCAAAGUGGGUACUCGAAUCUUUUCAUCCAAUGGAGCUUGAUCCAGAGGAAAUAUGUAAUCUGGAAGAGGAUAAUUUGAUUGGAAGUGGAAGCGCAGGUAAAGUUUAUAAAUUGGAUUUGAAUAAAAGCCGAGGAACUGUUGCUGUAAAGCAAUUAUGGAAAAAUGAUGCAGCAAAAGUACUAACGGCAGAAAUAAACAUUUUGGGAAAGAUCAGGCACAAAAAUAUAUUGAAAUUGUAUGCUUUGCUAAGAGUAGGGGGAUCAAAUUUUCUUGUUUAUGAAUAUAUGCCGAAUGGCAAUUUAUAUCAAGCUCUUCGAAGGGAAUUUAAAGGUGGGCAGCCAGAGUUGGAUUGGAAUAAAAGGUAUAAGAUUGCUGUGGGGGCUGCAAAGGGUAUUAUGUAUCUUCAUCAUGAUUGCUCUCCGCUCAUUAUUCAUAGAGACAUAAAAUCCACUAAUAUAUUGUUAGAUGAUGAGUAUGAUGCAAAAGUUGCUGAUUUUGGAAUAGCAAAGAUUGCAGAAGGGUCGGAGCUCAGUUGUUUUGCUGGUACUCUUGGUUAUCUUGCUCCUGGUAUGCUUGCUGCUAGAGUGUAUGCACUCAUUUUUUUUUAAGUUCUUUCCCUUUUCUGAUUUAUUCCUUGCUUUACCCUGUCCUGUAGGGAAUUAAAAGAUCAGAGUAUUCAUCAGUACGCGCCAUUUUAUGUUGAUUUGAUUUUGUACAGAAGUUAAUUGGAAUUUUAUCCAUUUCUCAAACUAAGAAGCAUACAUUAUUAGUGUGUAUUCUUUAUUAACAAUUUAGAACAUGUGAAGUAUAACUUUGCUGUCAUGGUUGCAUUUCACCGCAGCAUGUAUCACAUAUAGAGAAGAAAUCGAUAUAAAUUUUUGCUCAUGAUAUUCCUUCCUAUUUCAAGAACAUAUGUUUGAUUUUUUCCCUUACUAAUUUUAAUUGCACAUAAUGUUUCUCAGAGCUUGCAUACUCUCUCAAGGCAACAGAGAAGAGUGAUGUCUAUAGCUUCGGUGUUGUCUUACUGGAAUUGCUCACAGGCCGCAGUCCAAACGAUCCUCAAUCCGACAAUGGAGAAGAUCUCGUCUGUUGGGUAUUGACUCGCCUAGACGGCCAAAACUUCUCAAAAGUCUUUGACCCAAGGGUGUCUAUUUAUGCAGAAGAAGAUAUGCUGAAAGUUCUAAAUAUAGCCAUUCUCUGCACGAAUAAGUUGCCGUCGGUGCGGCCUACCAUGAGAGAAGUAGUCAACAUGCUUAUUGAUUCUGGUCCUUGCUCUAUCAGGAAGAGAGCAAAGAGCUUUGGUAAUAACUGCUAGCUUUUCCUUAAGCAGCUCUUUUUGUAUAGGGGCGUUUACACAAAUAUCCCUGCAUUUAGUUACAUAGAUCCUAUGCGAAUUCCGAAUUCUCAAUACAUUCCCCAUGCAGCUCUUUGAAAGAACCUUAUCUUUAAGUUGGGCAGUCAUCGGAAUCCCUGGAGGGUUGAAGCUUGUUGUGAAUCUAAAAUGAAUCUAAGUGCGUCAUUUUCAUAACUACAAGAGCAUAUGCUUUAAUGAUCUUUGAUGAAAACUCAGAUUUUGCAGGGAACUGUGUAAACAGAGAAUCUGUAGGGAUGUAUGUGUAAAUUACCCAUGUUGUAUAAUAUCAGUGUAGUAAUGAGAAUGUUUAGGUAGUCUAGCUCAUGUACAAGAUAUUCAGUUUUAGAAUUGCUUCUUUUAUUGAUCUAGGAAAUGCCGUAGGAGGCAUUUGGUAUCAAUUUAGGACUCAACACUUGUAUUUGAUCAUCUGUAUGCUAGCAAUAGAUUUUCUUUUCUUUUUUUUAUUUCUCAAGCCCUAUGAACCAUGGAUAUGGUCCUGUGGAUAUCCGGUACAGGCGCGAUGUUACGACAAACGCACAAACGGAAACGAAAUGACGAACACAAACACAAUCAAACCAUAAGCAGAAAAAAUAAAGAGACACAGAUUUACGUGGAAAACCCUUUGCAGGGAAAAACCACAGGCGAGGGAGGAGAGAUCUUCACUAUGGAACGAAAAAGGGAAUACAAAGUUCUUCAGGUUACAACCAACCACGAUCACACGCCUCUAGGGCAUAAACGAUAAACGAAAAGAAAAAACUCAUAACGGGUUUCGGAUCCGAUCCGUACCGCGGGGGGCUGUCGGCCCGAGCCCUCCGCUACCCACCACAGACAUUCAUUUUUCCUCCAUAAUUUUCUUUUCUAAAUUGGUCGCACCGCGAAGCUGUCGGCAAGUCGUAAACCCGAACCUGAAUCGAUAGUAGAUUUCGAGUCACAUCUAACACGCGACAUGAGAUGCAGGAUACAAUAUGGUCAGAAUAUGCGUACGACAUGAAAGUUGAUCUACACACAUAUCAACAUAAUCUUAUGUCCUACAUGCAUGCAUUUGCACAUACAUACUAGAUGAUACCUGCAGCUGUGGGUAUAUAAAGAACUUCUUUGAUAGGUAAACACUAACUGACAAUCUGUUUCAUGUAAUAGUAAAAUGAUUGUUUUGCUCUAAAUACUUGACAUCAACAAAGGUAUCUCCAAUAUAUAUGACAACAUAAAAACAAAAUUUCCAUUGAUAAAGUAAAUACAUAGAACAUUAGAAUAUUCAAUCUAUAAAUCGUAAUGCAUUAUUGUCAUAGUGGAAGUAAAUUUGAGGCUCUUUAAUGACCUCUAUAGCCUUUCCAACAUAAAAAUGAGCAAGAAUUUUUUAAUAUGUUCUGUGGGGCAUUUUCAUUUAAUAAUUUUUAUUUACAAUUAACUAUCUACUGGGUCAUGAAUGUGGAUUGGAUCGGAUGGCUUGCAUGGUAUCACUUGUUGCAGGAUGAGAGUGGAUCAGCUAGUUAAAAAACAAUGCAGUCGAUUAAAAUGAAAGCCAACUAAGAGGUACGUAAAGUCUAAUUGUCAUAAAUCGAAUUACUCUUUCACAUUCAAUAUAUUGUAAUAAGUUGUCAACAUGGUGAAUCUCUACUGUGAUCUUUCUCUUCUGUUUUCUUCUGAUGUAAAUGUAAUGAUAGAAGAUGAGAUCUCUUCUUAGUAUCACUUGAAAGGUAUAACCCCUAGUGGUUUUUUUUCCUACUGUUAUGAUGAUUCCCUUUUCUCUUUUUUUUUUUAAAUUUUUUUGUUCUGGUGAAUUAAGGAUUCGACCUUGUGCUCUUCCACAUUUUUCUGCUCUCAUUUUUCGCUUUACGAGCUUUUUCGAUCUACAAUCCAAUGUACCUUUCAAGACCUAACAGCCCGUAUUAUAUUAGAUUAAAGUCCUCCCUUUCUCUCGAUUGUGUCGCUCCUGCUGGUCUCUUCAGAACAAGGUUUUAAGUGCCCGUCGGCACGAGCCGUAUCCACCGUGCCGUACCGUGCCAACAAGAUACCGGCACGAUACAGACCCCGUGCCGACGGCACAGUUCAAAACCCUCUAUUCUUUAAAUUAGUAAGUAAUUUCCUCAAUAAAGUUCAAAAGAUGUGAUAAAAAGACAUAAUAAAUAGUUAGAAUAUUUUGUUGCUAAAGAAAAUAAAUAUUUCAUGCUAUUAUGUGUCGGCACACAAGGUGUUUUUUUUAUCGGCACGCACCGUGCCGGCAAGUUUCCGGCACGACCCCGUGCCAUGGCACUUAAAUCCUUGCUUCAGAACUCUUAUUUUUGAAACCCUCAAUAAUAUUUCUCCACCAAUAUAUCUAUCAACCAUGAUUCCUAGUAGUUUUAUUAUAACCUUAUAUGCCACUAUUUGCAACCUAUAUAAGCCCCCUCAAAACUAAACUUUUUUUUUUAAAAAAAUUCAAGUUAGAUUCCUCAUUCCUAUGCUAUAUUCGAGUAGAAUGCAAGGAGUCUCUCUUAGGGUGCGUUUGGUUCGCAUUAUAAAAGAUUACUAGGAAUAAAAGAUAUCCGAGAAUCUUAUUACUAUUCAUCCUAUUACUAAGAAUGUGGAAUUCCUGUGUUUGGUUCACACAGUAAUAUUAAUUAGCCAUGUUAUUUAAUAUUACAAAAAUUAUACAAUUAAUUAAUUUAUUUAUUUAUUUAAUUUUAGAUAAUGUUACCAAAAGUUUCAACAUCUUUUUAGAAAAAAGAGAGAGAGAGUAUAAGUUAGAGAGAGAGAGCAUAAUUAAAAAAAUAGAAAAAAAAAUAUAGUCGAAAUUAGAGGAAGUGAGAGAGUUGAAAUUUUAGAAAGAGAGAGAGAGAGAAAGCUUAGUUUAGAGAGAGAAAAAAAAGUUGAAUUUUAGAGAGAAAAAUAAGUUUAGAGAGAGAUGUAAGGUUAGAGUGUAAAGAAAAAUAAUAUCAAUUAGCCGGCGGGUAGGAAGAAAGAAAGAGAUUAGACAUAUUAUGAUUACCCCAAUCCAUUAAUAUGAGGAUACCCACCCUCCCUCAAGGGAAUGAGAUUAGUACUUUGGGGUGAAUCUUAUUCCCAAGUAAAUCCAAUAUUACCAACUAGAUUACUUAGUGCGUUUAGCCAAACAUCGUCAUAUUUUUUUAUUCUCAUUGGAUUACUAGGAAUCUUUAAAAGAUAGCGCGAACCAAACGCACCCUUAAGGUAAAGUUUGUAAUGAAAAGACCAAGCUGGUAUUCUUUUUCUUUCUUCGAUAGUCCGAAAUUACCAAAAUAUGAUAAUGAAGCUUUCCUGCUGGAUUAUUCUGGUGCCUGGGUGGUCACAUUCUCGUAGGCCCCCAGAAAAGGAAAAAAGAAAAAUUGUGUCACAACAAUGGAAGCAACGCAUAUAUUUAUGUAUGAAGCAACAAACAGAUGAUGGAGUAGUGUCAAAGAAUUGCUGUUAGAAUGUCAUUUUACAUGCUAAUCAAAGAGUUAUCUUACGACAAGCAUUGACAAAUCCACAUUUUUCAUCAGGUUACUGUUACUAUUAAUAAAUUGAUAGUUGUACAUGUAUGUAUUGUUUUUAGUGGACUUGUUUAGUUGGAAAGGCAUAUUCUUUCCCUCUUUAUUAAGUUAAUGUGCAGGAAAUGUUAUUAUUCAAGUUUUCUACUUCCCAUAGCAUUCUCUCUUUAUAUAUUUUUAUGUAAACCUGGAUAAAUGUGUGUCCCACUUGUUGCAGGAUGCAAGUUUUGUUACUGUUUGAUUUUAUCCAGAAACAUGUACUUGAUAUCAGCAUUCCACAACAAAGCCUUCGCUUUCUUAGAUCAAAAUUACGCGACACCAGUCGCGUUCUGCGGUAUGAAUUCAGAGCUUUUCAACUCAAUUGAUGUCUCAAAUGAAUAGUGAUUUGAUUAUACUGAUAUCUGAAAACUCUGCUUAUAUGAUAUAAUGCCUGAACAAUAUCUCUGUUGCUUGGUUUUCUCUGGAUUGAGGUUGAAUUAGUCGGCCUUCAUGUUGAAAACUUUAUACAUCAAAUUGUGCGAAUUCGAAUGCACUCAGAGCUGAUGCAAGAGACUCUUGAAUUUCGUUUUUCUUUUAACUGUACUCUAUGCCCUAAACCCCUUUUACAUAAUCAUAUCAAUGAAUAUGAUUCAGCACAAUGAUCUAAACUAUUAUACAUUAUUAUUUGGGGUUAACAUUCUUUCUAUGCUGUGAUUUUUUGGAGCCAAUUUUUGAUGAUAGUUAUGUUUGCUUGUUCUCCUUCUCUUUAGAACAUUAUUUCUAGAGGAGGAUUAAAUUUAUUAGAUCUAGUGUUCUAAAUUGAUUGUUUUUUUUUUAAGGAAUAAUUGCCUAUAUACCCCUCAAAACUUUGAAAAUAUCUCAUUUGUCCAUACUAUUUUUUUUUUUCCAAUGUACUCCUCAUAUAUUCCUCCGUUAUUUCAGAAUAUUCCUAUAAUUAUCACCCGUUAAGUUAACUUAGGUUAAAUAUGAGUUAAAUAUUUAACAGAGUUAAAAAAAUAAUAAUGGCAAAUAAGAUAUGUUUGUGAUGAUAGAAGGGUAACUUAAGGGCAAAUGAGAAAUGUUUGUAAUGAUAGAAGGGUAACUUAAGGGUAAAUAAGAAAUGUUUGUGAUGAUAGAAGGGUAUAUUUGAAAAGAACAAAAAAUUAAAAUAUUUUUUUUGCCCCUAACUUAAUGGCAAAUAAAAAAAGUCAGUGAUGGUAGAAGGGUAUAUUUGAAAGGGCAAAAUAGUAAUUUUAUAGAAAUAACAGCUACUGCUAACAAUCUUUUUUUUUUUUUUUGAGAAAGGCAGCACGCUACCUGCUUCAUUCAUGCUAUCGCUAACCGUUCAUAAAUAGAAUUUAACUCUAUGGGUAUAUUUGAAAUAUGUUGAAAUGUAAAAAAGGUAUUUGAAAUAUUAGCCUUCUCUAAGGAGGAUAAAUCAGAAAAUCGAGAAUUUUUCAGGGGUAGAUAAGUAGUUGCCCCUUUUUUUUAAAUACCAAUCAAAGAGAAAAAUGUUGUGGCAUGAUUAAUUGAAUUUGGGGUUACAAAGAAAGCAAUUAAUAUUCGACGGAAGCACAAGUGGCAAAGGGCUUGGUGGUUGGUAUCCGAGGUCCCAAGUUCGAAUCCUAGUUGAUUCACAUUUUCAGCUAAGUUUAUUUCUAAAUAAAAAAAUAUUCGAGGGAUUGUGAUGUUGCUUGGACGGUUCAUACUCUCUAUUAUUAUUAUUAUAUAUAUAAUUUGAUUACUUAUUGACUUAGACUGGUCAAACCCUAUCACAUUAGAGGAGAGCUAACAAGUGGUUCAAAUUAUAUGUUUAACUCUUUAAUUUUAAUUUUAAUUUAUAUUCAAAAUUCAAAUUCCACACCUAAAUUUCGACCUUAAGUGUGAAUUUAACUUUUUUUAUUUAAAGAACUUCAAAUGGUUUAGUUAUCCAUUUAAUUUAAAUUCAUAUUUUAAAUUAAAGGGUUUGAAAUUUUUUGACAAUAAUUUAUAAAUUUUAGAAAAGAUUUUUGUUUACUAUUUGACAAUAAUAACAUCACAUGAUUAAAUCCUUCCCUCGUGAAGUCACGUAGCCCAUGGACUUUUUAACCAAUGAGGUAAUGCCACAUGCCUAUAGAAAAGUUUGGAUGUGCCCGGUUCACAAUAAACCGACUAUAAAUUGUACAUUAAAAAUAAAAUGUCGAUGAGAUAAUAAAUUAUUUAAAUAUUUUUAUUAUAUUAUAUUUUAUCUUAUAUUAAAUAUUCCAUCAAUUAUAUAAUAUUCUGUGCAGUAUACGAAAAAUUAGUAUGUAUUAGAUGCAAACAAAAAUUUCUCCUUUCUUUUGAAAUUAUAUGUGUACCGUACUAAGCAUUUUCUGCACCCGGAUAUAUUUAUGUAUAUUUGCCACAUGCUCAACAUUCUUUAAUAGAGAUUUUUAAAUUAAUACAUCAAAUAUAAUUUAAAUUAUUAGACUUUAUAAAUAAGGUAUAUUUAAUUAAUUUUUUGAUAAUGGAUCAUUAGUCAUCUAAUAUAAAUUGUAGCGUGUAGAGUAAUAAUAUGCACCAGAUAUAUGCAAUAUUUGCUUCUCUUCUAAUUAAUUUUAAUAAGGUAAAAGACAAUCUCACCUAUUCAUUAAUUUGAUUUGAAAUAAGUUCUUCAAUUUUAAUUUUUUAAUUAAAAAAAUUUACUUACAGGAUGGCCAUAAAAUUAUAAAUUUUACUAGUAAAGUUUUAAAUAAAAUUUUUAAAAUAAUUCAACUCUAUAAAUAUUAAAAUUUAAGAAAAUAUUAUUAUUUUUUUAAUGUAUAUAGGACUAUUUUAUAAUUUUUUUAUAUUUUUAAUAUAUUUUUUAUUUUUAAAAUUUUAAUAAUUAUAUAUUUUAAUUGGCUGAAAUAUUAUCUACCCGCCGCGAAGCACGGGUCCUAUACUAGUUUAGAAAUAUAAGGUACUCACCACUCUCUAAAGUUAAUAAAAUUAGAUCUUCAGAAAAAAAAAAAAAAAAAAAAAAAAAAAAAAAAAACUGAGCUAGUUUGAGGAGCCAUGUCGGCGAGCUCUCCGGCGCCAUCGAGUGCCGACAACACUUGGUACUNUUUAUGAUUAGAUUUUGUGGGUCACAUCAGAUUUAAAUUGUAAAUUACUUUUAUUAAAGAACAAUUAAUUUGAGGACUAAAAUUUAGACAUUGGUGCACCUGGUUUGGUGUAGCCAAUAAUUUUGCCCUCUCCAUCCAAGGUGGUUAGUAACAUGGCAUUUUUAUGGUGGCGACGUGGCACUGCCAGGGUGUCAUGUCACUGUCAAAUUAGUAUGCACUUGUUGAUUGAGUGAUCACAUCCCAGCCCACUGAAUAUGCUCCUCGCCGGACGAUCCUACAGCUCAUUUGAUGAUAAAAUAUAUUUAAAAUUAUUGAAUUAGUCGUAGGAUGAACGACGAGAUGUAGACGAGCGUGAAAUUGAGUAAUGGCGGGACUGGUUAGCGCGCGUGUGUGUGUGUGUGCAGAAAAAUUAUAUGCAUGCUCUGAAUAGAUUAUCAAAUCAUACUUAGGAGCUGUUUGAAGAUAAAACUUAAGUAGAGAGCUCUCUAAUGGCACUUUGUUGGAAUCCUCGUAUUCACUGUCAUGUGUUAAUUUUGCUUUCACAAAGACAAAAUUAAUAUAUGGCAGCAAAUCCGAGACCCCUCGAUGGAGCUCCAAAAUAAAAUUUUUCUUGCCGUUUAGUACGAGAUUUGUAAUAUUUUUAAAAUAUUAUAUAUUUAAUAUCCAGAAUAGAACUACUUUACUAAUAUUUUUCGCAAUCAUUGAACAUGAGUUAAAUAGUAAUGAUUCGAAUAUUAUCAAAAAAAUAUAUAGAGAAUUAUUGGAACAAAGCCAAACAUGCCAUCACAUUGAUGAUCCAAUCAUAUGAUGGGAUGAUGAACCCAAUAAUAGAACUUGAUUGGAGUGAUUAGGAAAGAUCAAACUAAAAAUUAUAUUAAAAAAAUAUAUAUAUAUUAUAUCAAAUCAAAGUUUGGGGGUUUAGGUGUGAUCCGUCUCAUAGUUUGAAUCCGAGUUGUGCAAUUUAUAGCCCAUAGUUAUUAUUUGAUUCAAAGCUUGCUUGAAUCUCAUAGUGUUUUAAUAGCUACAAUCUUAAAUAAAGUAUUUUGCGUAGAAAAAAGAAAAAAAAAAUGUUUAAAGUUUUUGCUACGUCGAAAAGUAGAAAUAAGAGUACAAGCAUCAAAAACAGAAAUUUGAUGUUUUAUUUGGUAUUGUUGCUAUUUUUUUUUUUUUUUAACUCUGUAAGCAUUACAUUAAUUCUAUAUAAUUUGAUAUAUCGUUGAAUGGACAGUUCUAUUGCUGUCAUAGUUGGUUAGGUUGCUACGUCCCACUCCACUCAAGCAAAAUGACAAUUUUACAAAUCUCUUUGAAUCCCAAAAAGAGCUAUUUCUAAAGUUUUAUUUUUUUAUUAUCAAACAAACAAUUUAGACAUAAAAAUUAGAAUAAACUUUAAAUAUCAUCCCUAUAAUUUUGCACUUUCUCAUGUUAGUACCCUAUAGUUUAAAGUGUAUCAAUUAGUAUUCUGUAGUUUUAUUUUUCUCUUUUCAUCAGCUUCUCAGUUAAUAUUUCGUUAAAUUAUAUACAAAAAAUUUCAGAUACCCUACCUAGAUUUAGCGAAUAUUCACUUUAGUACCUUUUAGUUUUAACUUUAUCACUGAUUCAACAAAAAAAAAUUAGUGGAAUAAAAAAAAAUGAGAAAAAUGAAAACACAGAGUAUUAAAUUGAUACACUUUAAACCACAGGACACUAAAGUGAGAAAGUGCAAAACCACAGGGAUGGUAUUUGAGGUUUUUUCUAAAAAUUAUAAGCAAUUCACGAUUCCAUCUUACAGUAUUUUUUAUGUUAGGAAAUUUAUUUGGAAAAACUAAAAUUACAAUGAAUGGUUGCAUUAUGAUUUAAAAGCAAGUUGUUAAGGAAAUUCAAAUGCAGUAAUUCCACUAAAUACUAACUAAUAGAACCAUGUAUAUCUUACAGCAGAGCCAAACAAACUCUAAACCAUAUUGUAAUGAAAAUAAAAUUAAAAAAAAUAAUAUGCAAACUAAUAAUUUUUUUAAAAAAAAGUAAAGACGUAUCGAACUUACCAGAACUAUGAAUCAUUUUUGAAUCUACUGUCCGACCUUUCAAAUUUUUGAUUUUAUUAUAUUACCUUUUAAUUUGUUUGAUUUGAGUCAGUCGAUAACACUUUAGACUUUAAAAUUUAAGCUAAUUACUUAUUUAUAUUAAUAAAUUUAUAGCUGUAAGAAGUAUGCUAAUUAAAUCUAUAAAAAUAAACGAAGAUGGAUUCAGAUUUUGAAGUUAAAGUAAUCUCGACGGACUCAACUCAAAUAAAUUGAAAAAUUGGAUAGUAAAAUCAAAAUAUUGAAAGAUUUGAUAGUCGGUUCAAAAUAGUCCAUAAUUCAAAUAAGUUCUGUACUUUAUUAUUUUUUUUUAAAAAAAAUGUAAUACAAAGGUCAAACCCUUAACAAAUUAAAAAUGUAUUUUGUGAAGUUUCUCUUCAUUGGGUUGUGCUAAGACUCACCAACCCUGCAGAGUAGAGAUUGAUAUUGGGCCCCACUGAUCUACCAACUAAUUAAUCCCAAAUAACAUCCCAAAUUAAUAAAUUUAAACCCACCAAAAAAAAUAAAAAAAAUGAGAAAUCAAACUUAGCCCUUUGUUUGUUUGAAAUUGUUGCUCUAAUUUUUAAAUUAAAACAUAUAGAAACCCCCUAAACUUUNACGCGAUCCAAAAUUGCUUUAACCGGAAAGGAGGUUGCGUGCAUCUCUUUUGGGCAUUUGAUUUUGACGAAGUAUUCAAAAUUGCCGACAAAAUAAAAAAAAUGAGAAAUCAAACUUAGCCCUUUGUUUGUUUGAAAUUGUUGCUCUAAUUUUUAAAUUAAAACAUAUAGAAACCCCCUAAACUUUAACCCGUUUUUAAUUUGAUUUACACUUUCUAAAUUCAUCAGCUAUUUGAUUUUAGCUUAUUUUGUCGGCAAUUUUGAAUACUUCGUCAAAAUCAAAUGCCCAAAAGAGAUGCACGCAACCUCCUUUCCGGUUAAAGCAAUUUUGGAUCGCGUGUAUUUUUUAUGAGUAUUUGUUUUGGUUUUAAUAUUUUUUUCCAAACUUAUUAAUGGAAUGUACUAAAUCAAAUGACUAGUAAGUAGAAGAGGUGUAAAUUAAAAUUUUUUUUAAAAAAAAUUAGGCGGUCAAUUUAAUAUACCGACAGAAUAAAUUUUUUUUUCUUAUUUUGAUGAUUACCAACUUGUAAGAUAUCUCGGCCAAGUGAUAGAUGACAAUUUAUGUAGAAAAUAAUUUCUAAGAUAAAAAUAAUUAGCUUUCAAAUGUUUAAAUUUUGAAUUUAAAAUUUCGAAUACUGGUUAUUAAAAUUUUUUUAUCACUUACGUUACGAACGGUCUGUUAAUAAGAUUUAUUUUUGGAUAUUGAUUCUGCACAAAUCAAAUGUGCAAGAAAUCCUACACGUCUGCUGAUUUGGCCAGCAAUCCCAAAGUGGAGGAGUGAGAUCUGCCAUUCUGCCAAUGAUUGGGAUGCAUCCUGCACUUCAAAUAAACUGUCAGAUUGCCUGUCUGCACUCCCAUGUAUGGAACACUUCCAAUCUAAGAUUGGCUGAUUUUUUUUUAAAAAAAAAAAAACUCUAGCUAAUUAAUAAAAAGAAAAAACUUCAAAAAAUGCUCCUGUAGUUUCGCACUUUUUUAUUUUCAGUAUCCUAUGAUUUAAAGUGUAUCAAAUUAAUACCCUGUGGUUUCGCACUUUCUCACUUUAGUACCCUGUGGUUUAAAGUGUAUUAAGUUAGUACUCUGUGGUUUUAUUUUUGUAUCAUGUUAGUACCCUGUGGUUUUAUUUUUUUAUCAAGUUAAUACCCUGUGAUUUUAUUUUUUUUAAUAAAAUAUUAAACCACAUGGUACUAAAGUGAGAAAGUGCAAAACCACAUAGUACUAAAGUGAGAAAGUGCGAAACCACAAGAUACUAACUUGAUACACUUUAAAUCCAGGAUACUAAAGUGAGAAAGAGUGAAACCAUAGGAAGGGUAUUUGAAGUUUUUCCUAAUAAAAAGCAUAUAAGCUCUCAUAUAAUUAAGCUAUAGGAUUAAUUACAAUCAAAAGGUGGUUCUAGGAACUGAAAAGGUGAUUAACACAUCCAAGAAUUUAAAUAUUAUUUUACAUUUUUAGUAUGAAAAAAAAGAAUAAAAGUACAACAAAAUUAGUGUAGAAAAGUAUGCCCUUUAAAGGAAUGUAAAAUUUACACUUUUAAGAUGUAGAAAAAGCAUUUCUCAAAUUUCAGUAAACUAGUCCAUGCCACAGUUAAUUAAUUCGCAAAUUAUUGAAAAUUCGAAUAAAACAGUUCGUAAAUAAUUUUGUCUCAAAAAAUUAGAAUAAAACGUAAAUUUUUGGGUUAGAUUUACUAUUCGCAAAUAAUUAGGGUAUGCCAAACUAUUCGGCUAAAAUAACAUGCAAAAUUUUUGAAUAAAAUCUCUUUGUCCAUUAAUUUGAGAAUUAUUGACAACUUACUUGCGAAUUAUUCACGAAUUAUUAAAAAACUUCAUGAAUUUUCGGAAAAUGUGGUCAUGAAAAAGGUGAAAAGUGAGACUCCAAUGAACCUUGCUUCUGCUCUUUUUACUUUACCUACUUUAUUUUGUAACUCCCUUUUUUUUUAUAUUCUUAAGAAUUAUAAUUGUUUAUGCUAGUAGCAAAAAUCUAGAGAAAAAAAUUUAAUUUAAUAGCUGAAUUUUUUAUCCCGAAUUUUUAAUUGGUGAACAUAUAAUUUUCGUUUAAAUCGCGUAUCUGAAUAAUUGACAAAUUCAUCUUUUAAACUGUAUUUUUUUAACUAACUUAAAAAUCAAGAUCCGAAUUUUAUUUAUGUUGUACCCGAUCCGAAUUAACUAGCUAUGUUCCACGCAGCAUGAGUUGUACUUCUCAAUCUAUUACCAUUUCAACACAAAAAGGUGUGGCCUAUUACAGAAAGGGAAAAGGGAAUAAUAGUGUUUGGUCACACAUAACAUUCACUACAUCUCUCUCUCUCUCUCUCUCUCUCUCUCUCUCUCUCUCUCUCUCUCUCUCUCUCUCUCUCUAGAUAAGAUGUGAAAAGUUGAAAAUUAUGUGGAAAAUGAAAGGUCAAGUGUGCCAUCCAAUUAUUAUUUUAUGAAAAUCAGCAUAAAGUAAUUGCAUUGCCUCCUCUUUUAUUAUUAUUAUUAUAAUACUUUCUAAUCACAAUUCGAGUUAUGUACUGUCUAUUUUUCAUCAUCUUAAUAUCACGAAAGAAAAAAAGCAAAAUAAAAUAAAACAAAAAAGAAUUUAUGGACAAACAAUAUUAACUCCUAUUCUCAAACAAUCCUCAUAAACGAAAAGAAUAAAUAAUAAUAAUAAUAAUAAUAAUAAGAAAAAAAAAGGACCUUUUCACACCGCUAAAUCUCCUCAAUUUUAGACUCGAAUCGGGCGAGUUGAUUCUGUACAAUCUUGUGUGUUGAAAAUUUUUAUCCCAAGGCAAACUUGGCAUACCAAUGAAUAUCCAUGUAACAUGCAAUUUUGCAUGUGAGUUAACCUGGAUGCUAGUUCAGCAUCGGUCGCGAAAUACAUUCGAGCCAUAAGUUGGUCAAUCCUUAUGCACACAGGAAUUGCUUACACGUGCGUAGAGAGAUGUCCGACGAACUCUGAUCCCUCAUCCUCCGCCAUCGCCGGCUUUUUUCCCUACCGAGCCUUCGCCUCGGCCUGGCACAAGCGCGGCACGCUCGAGCUCCGCAACCACUAACCGUCAUCGUCGCUCCCGCUGCCCUCGCCCUCACGCACUCGGCGCCGGCUCGGGAUGAGCGCUUUCGGCCGAACUCGUCUCUCACACGCUCCGCUCCGUUCGGGCUCGGCGGCCCCACCCUGCCGGCCACCACCUCCCCCCCCCCCGCCUCUAUCGCCGGCACCGCCAUCUCCACCACGUUCCGUGGCGACCCCAUCGUCGUCUCUACCUCUUCCCCUCCACCGCCGCCACCGCCGCCACAUUCUCGGUGUAUCGCCUUCCUCCCAGUGAUCAGCUCCAGCAGCACAACUCCGAAGCUGUAGACGUCGCUCCUCUCCGUGAGCCGCUGCAUCCGGUAGUACUCCGGGUCCAUGUAGCCCACCGUCCCCGCCGCAGCGGAGGCAACGCCGCCGAUCAUCGGCACGGAGAGCCCGAAGUCGGAGAUCUUCGCCGUCCAAUCCGUGUCCAGCAGUAUGUUCGAGGACUUCACGUCGCGGUGGACCACCGCGGGGACGGCGUAGGAGUGCAGGUACUCCAGGCCCCGCGCCGCGCCGAGCGCCGUGCGGAGCCGCGCCGCCCACGACGAGUAUAUCGGCGAGGGCGGGGACGCGGCGGCGCCGUGGAGGUGGUCGUGGAGGGAGCCGUUGGGCAUGUACUCGAAGACGAGCACGCGCUCGCCGCGCCCGCGGCUGUAGCCGAGGAGCCGCGCCACGUUGCGGUGGCUCAGCCGCGCCAGGAGCCCCAGCUCGGCCCGGAACGCGCGCUCCGACUCCCCCCACCGGCUCCGGCUCCGGCUCCGGCGCGGGGGGGGCGGUGGCGGCCCCGCCGCCGCCGCCGCCGCCGAAGUCGAUCCCCCGUCCUCGGCGCGCUUGACCGCCACCUCGCGCCCGUCGGGGAGGGCCGCGCGGUACACCGCGCCGAAGCUCCCCGCGCCGAUGCGCCGCGCCGCCGCGAACCCCUCCGUCGCGCGCUCCAGCGCCUCUAUCUCGAACUCCUCGCACCCGUACUCCCCCUUCCCGGCCGGCUCCGCCUCGAGCCGGUCGCCGCGACUCCGCCGCCGCCGCCGCUCCCCCGUCCGCGCCGCGUCGUGUACGCGCCGGUCGCAGGUCCCGAAGAAAGCCCCGUAGGCCGCCGCGCCGACCAAGGCGGCGGCGGCGGCGCCGAUCCCCACGAACCCGGCGAUCGCGAACGCGGCGUGCUUCCUCCUCUCCCCGCUCAAGCCGCCCCCUCCCGGGCUAGCCGAGCCCUCGGCGAUCCUGCAGGGCCGGCAAAUCGCGUCCCCGCCGCCGCCGCAGAGGUCGCCGGAGCCGGCCAGGACGCCGCAGGCGCACGCGCGCUGGGGCGCGCACGGCCCCGGCGCGACGCGGUCGAAGACGACGCGCCCGCCCGGCCCGAAGAGCCCGCCCCAGCACACCGCCGAGUAGUUGGCCAGGAGCACGCCGCACACGGCGCCGCCGCGGGCCUCGAUGGCCGCGAACUCGGCGCCCGCGAGGGCGCUAGGCACCGCGGCGGCGCCGCCCCAGCAGCGCACGGCGCCGCUCUCGGCGAGGGCGCACGUGCGGUCGUCGCCGAGCGCGAGGGCGGCGAUGUCGGCUGGGGGGUCGUCGUCGUCGUCGUCGUCGUCGGGGAGGUCGGGCGGCGCGCCCGCGCCCCAGCAGGCGAGGCGGCCGGGCCGCAGGGCGACCGCGCACGCGUGGCGCGCGCCCGCGGCGAGGGCGCCGAAGCGGCCGGGGGGGGCGUUGGCGACGACGGCGAAGUCGGUCCCGAAGCAGCGGAUGGAGGCGUCGGCGCGGAGGAUGCCGCAGAGGAAGUCCGUGCCGACGGCGACGUGGGUGAAGGAGAGGCGCGGGGGGACGCGGAGGUCCGGCCAGCGCCAGCAGGCGGGGGCGCCGAGGACGAUGCCGCAGACGUGGGAGUCGCCGGCGGAGAGGGCGCGGAGCGGGGGCCCGCGGUAGACGCGCUUCCCGGUUGUGCCGCGGUCCGGCCCGGAGAAGGACCACCAGCGCAUGGUGUCGACGGAGUCGGAGAGGGAGAUGGCGCAGAGGAAGCCGUCCCCGGCGGCGACGGCGGAGAAGGGGGAGGAGGAGGAGGAGGAGGUAGGUCUUGGUGGCGGCGGCGGGGAAGCUGGAGCAGGUCAGGGUCGGGAGGAGGAGGAGGGGGGGAGCUGGAGGAGGAGGAGGGCGCAGACGAGGGUGGUGUUGGGCCGGCGGGAGAUGGCGAGGGUGGAGAAGGGGGCGAGGAGGAGGCGGCAGCGGAAGGGAUGAAAGAGACGAGGAGGAAGAAGAACAACAAGCGUGAAUGGCGGUUACCAGUGUUUUUGAGAGGAGGAGGAGGCAUGGUGGGGGUGCAGAGUUGAUGGCCUGUGCAGCAGAGGAGGAGGAGGAGGAGGAGGAGAGGAGUAUUUCAUGGUAUAUAGAGAGAGAGAGACAGAGAGACUAAUUAACUACAUACUCACUACUACUGCUCGCUCUGCUGCUAACACUAACUACUACUACUACGGACGUGGUUUUUAUAUAAUAUUGAGGGAGAUCGAUGGAGAAUUAAGGUGGUGGGGGAACACGCGCGCCAAUGGAAAGACUAGCUCGAUUUGCCACUUUGAAAUAAUCCUUAAUUAGCAAAUAAGCCAGGUCUCGCUAGCUAGUUCUCUCUACAAACUCUCUUUAAUAACUUAAUUUCUGUGCACACUCAAACUCGUUCUCCAGCCCGAUUAAUUGAGAGUAAUAAUUCUGGAACUUCGCUGCUCCUCGCGAACAGCGCGUGUGGUGGACCAUGACAUUUAUAUUAAUUAAUCCUAAUCUAUAUAUAUAUAUAUAUAUAUGGCAGAAGAUAACUAGGUACUUUGCUCUCAAACUAGCGACAUAUAUGUGCUCUAAACUAGUUAAGACAAUUAUCUCACCAAUGCCAUGUAUGUUUAAUCUCAUCAUCUUUAAAACAAAAGGUAAAAAAAUCUAUGUACGUAUUACGGACAUUUCCAUAAGCUUCGUGUGAUGCAGCUUCCAAAUCGACGAUCGGCUCCGUUAGACUUGAUCUACACUAUUGAAAGUAUUUGAAAACUAAAUUUCAUAAAUUUUCGGCAUCAUUUACCUAUCAAACGAGUAGUCUAAAAAUGAACGGCUGAAAAUAAAAAUCUCUUAAAAAAUGAUGUUGAAAAAUUAUGAAAUUUAGUUUCCAAAUACUUUUAAUACGGAGGCGUUCAUGCUACCGAUAGUAUACCAGCUUAACUCUAUAUAUAUAUAUAUAUAUGUAUUUAUAUAUAUAGAGGAGAGAGAGAGAUGUCGAGAGAUGAGAGAGAGAGAGGAGAGAUAGAGGCUAGAGAGAGCGGAGAGAGAGAGAGAGUGGCUGGUAUGGAUUAUGGAAGACGGAGCCCUCGUGCUUCCAAGUGUUUUCGAUGUUUUUCGACUUUCGACAUACAACGAUCGGCUCUGUUUAGAGCUUGAUCUAGAGUUAUUUGAAAAUACCUAAAAUAAAAAUUUUGUGAUUUUUCGAUAUCAUUGUGCUAGUGAUCAAAGGGCUCAAAAUCAAUAAUUUAAGGCCGUGGUUGAGCGGUUGCAAGUUUAACGCGUGUAGAAAUAUCCAAAUCCAUGUAAUUUUUUCUGAUAGAAAAUUCUUAUUACCAGUUAUAAAACAAGAUUAUAACUUUGAUCUAAAAUUUUAUGGGUCAUAUCAUCAUUUUUGUAAAUGUUAUUUUCAAGCACGUUUUGAUUUUGAGCCCCUUUGAUCACUAGGCAAAUGAUAUCGAAAAAUCACAAAAUUUAUUUUCUAGAUACUUCAAAUACUCUAGAUCAAGUCUAACGGAGCCGAUCGUCAAUUCGAAAGUUCGAACAUCGAAAACAAAGUGGAAGCACGGAGCCCUCCGUGCUUCCAUAAGCAUCCUAGCCGCACUCUAUAUAUAUAUAUAUAAAAUAAUAAAUAUUUUAGUUUUUUUUAUCGAUGCAUACAAAUUUUUUUAAUUCUAUAAAAAAAAUUAUGUAUGGUGAGAAAAAAAUUUCUUAAAAUAUAUGAACUAUCAACAAAAAUUUUACUAACUUUUAUUCGUAUGAGAAAUAUAAAAUAUUAUAAAAAUAUUUUAUCCAAAUUAAUAUUUUAUAUAUAAUAAAUAUAUAUUAUUAUAUUAAUAAUAUUAUAUUUUAUUAGUGAUGUUCGUAUCGUAAUUUUUUGAAAACUGUCAAGUUGCCAUGCAUGUCCGAGUCGUGUCGUAUCUCGCAGCAUCCAUAAUACCUAGAUAAAAAUAAAAUGAAAAAAUAUAUAUUAGUAAAUUCUUGAGUCAUUAUAAAUGAGGUUGUAGAUAUUACAAUCUCUUUUUGGUUAUAAGCGUAUUCUCACAUUAUUUUAACGUAUGAACAAUCUUUUUUUUUUUGAGAGAGAUAUGUAGCACGCUACCCGUUUCGUUUAUUUUAUUUAGAAAUAAACUUAGCUGAAAAUGUGAAUCAAUUAGGAUUCGAACUUGGGUCUCGGGUACCAACCACCAAGCCCUUUGCCACUUGUUGUAGGGACGGUUGGUUAUUCAAUACAUCUUUUUUAUUUAAAUUCACGCAGUACUACUUUUGUAGUGUUUUGCUGGUCUAAACUAUCUGUAACGACCCAACCCGAAAAUUCAUAAGAUUUUGAGUUUAAAUUUUAAGUUUGAUAUUUAUAAAUGUAUUUAAACUUUAGAGUUUAAAUUUUGGUUUUGAAGAUAGAAUUUUAAUUCUAGCUGGUGAUGAAAGCUUUUCACCUUCUUCUCGGACAAUUUCUCUUCUCUCUCUCUCUCUCCACUAAAACCAAGCUGUCAAUGGAGGAGAAGUUUGAUUAUGAAAGCUACUCCCAUCAUCAGUGUUCAACUUGAAAUCAGCUUCGCCAUUUUGAUUUGACCUCAAAUUAGGGGUUAAGGUCUCUUCAUCUUUGAAGGAUCUUGGCUCUUGGUGGAGAGCAUAGAAAGAUACAAUUAAUUUAUUUAAAACAUACAUAAGCGUUCACGAGUUUCAAUUGUGACUCGGCCUAAUCAGCCUCCCGCCACUUCGAACACGACUCAACCUAAUCCGACCUCCCAUCAUUUCGAACGUAAUUCAGUCUGGCCAGAUCUUUUGUCAUAGGACAAAAUGAUGACCCCUGUAAGUCAACAUGUUCAAACUCUUUAUUUUCAAUGUUAGAUUUGAUACUUUUAUAAUGUUUAUUUAAUUUGUGUUUCUAUUUGAUUUCAAAUUUUAUUUCAUUUAGAAUUUGAUUUGAGAGAGUUUGGAUAAAACACUGGAAUCAUCAACUGAACUGUUGGCCCUGUCUGAACAGCAGAUCCACUGCCAAGUACAACAAGAGUCAACCACCCUUGAGAUGAGGGUUGACCGUUGGAGGCUACAGUAAACCCACCAAAAUUUAAAUUUUUGAAAUUUUGGAUUCUUUUAGGAUUGGUCUUAAUUGACUUUUAUGGUGCGAGUUUUAACUAGUAUUUUCACUUGGAUUACCACUUUAUUUUAUUCGAUUUUGGUUUGGUCAAGUUCGGACUCACGCAUGCAGUUCUAGUUAGUGUAGAGUCGACCGACCGACCGACAACAUGCCGUCGACCAAAAUGGAACACUGACAGAAUUCUAGCUUCGGAUUUUCUAAACUACCGUUUGGUUCGGAAUCAAGAAAAAACUAGUUAUUCCAGAAAUAGAGUUAAGUUCAGGAUAAAGGUGGGGUUAAAGUAUUUUUGUGUUUGGUUGAGAAUUGGAGUUAGUCCAGGAUUCAAAAAACAUAGUAUUUAGUUGAAGUAGGUGGGAUAAGAAGAAUAGUGGAUAAAAUAGUGUUUUGUUUGCUUGGAGUAGUGGGGUGGGAUGGGGUUAGCUAUGGUUAGCUAACCCCACCCCAAAUAGGCUAACUCGGGUUUGCUCAUUUGGAGUGUGGUUAGCUAAUCCCACCACCCUAAAAUUAUGUUUGAGAAUAAAAUCGGGGUUAGAGAGUUAUCCCAUCCCUUAACUCCGAACCAAACACAAGCUAAAGGUCGAUCGGCAGCAGCCAUGACCGGUCAAUCGACUAGUUUAUAGUCGAUCAUAUGAUAUGAGAAAAGAAUUUUGAUUGAAAAUAUAAGAGGCCUCACAUUUUAGUGAUGACUAAAUUUAAAUAUUUCGGACCAGUAAUUUAGACCUAACGAAUUAUUUUAGUUAGCAGGUCGAAUCACUACAGUUAGUAUUAGAGUCGAAUACCAACCGGAAGUGUGAGCCGAAUACAGUUAGGAUUUUGGUGUUUCAAUAAUUAUUUUGUUUCCUAUAUAAAAGUCUUGCAUAUAUAUAUAUAUAUAUAUAUAUAUAUAUAUAUAUAAACUUAAUAUAUAGUGCGUCUGGUAUAGCUUAUGGUAAGCAUAUGCGACGCUCCGUGCUUCCACUUGUUUCGUAUGUUCGGACUUUCGAAUCGACGAUCGGCUCCGUUAGACUUGUAUCUAAAUAUUUGAUAUCCUAGAAAAAUAAUUUGCGAAUUUUCGAUAUCAUUUGCCUAGUGACUAAGUGGCUCAAAAUUACACGGCUGAAAAUAAAAAUCUUACAAAAUAUGAUGAUAUGACAUUAAAAUUUAGAUCAAAGUCUAAUUAAUCUUGCUUAUUAUAUGGAUAAGAAUUUUUUAUCAAAAUUUUCAUGCGAUUGGGAUAUUCACACCGUAAAACUUGGCGACCUCCGGUCUACAGCCACGCGCCAUUAAAUUAUAUUUGAACCCCGUCAUUCACUAGGCAAAUGAUAUCGAAAAAUCGCAAAAUUUAUUUUCUAGGUACUUCAAAUACUCUAGAUCAACUCUAACGGAGCCGAUCGUCGAUUUGAAAGUCCGAACAUCGAAAACAAAGUGGAAGCACGGAGGGCUCCGUGCUUCCAUAAGCAUACCAACCUACUCUAUAUAUAUAUACUAGUCAUAUGCACGUGCAAUGCACCUGAGACUUAUUUGAAAAUAUCAAAUAAUUUUUUUCUAAAAUAUAUAUUCAUUUAAAGUUAUUAAUGAAAUUGAAGUAUAGACUAACUAUACUACUAUUCCCCAAUUAUUACUGUUCAAAUUAAUUGGACUUAAUUUGGACAAAGAUUUUAAUAUUUUUUACACCCUAAAAACAAUAUAUAUACACAAAUUGAUUUGAAGAAUAUCGUAAAAAUAGUAAUACAAUUUUAGAAGAAUUUUGAAUCCUAUCGCUCAUAUUUUGAAAAGUUUUUGCAUGUUUUAUACACUAUAUAUAUUUUAUAUUUGAUAAACGUAUAGGUAAAAAUAAAUAAAUAUAAAAAAAUAUGCUAAAAUAGUAUAAAUGCACAUUAAAAAAAUAAAAAUUUUCAGGUGAGAUCAAAAUACCUCUCUAACUAUGACAAAGGUGGCGAAAAUGACAAUGUGCUGGUGUUGACGAUAACAAUAUGCUACGAUGUACUGGUGCUAGCGAUGGGGAUAUAUGAAAAAUAUUUCAGAAAAAUAUAGGUGAAAAUAAAAAAGAUGUUACUAAAAAAAUAUGUCUUCUAAAAAAUAUAUUCUGUGUGUGAAUAAAUAUUAUGAUGAGAUAAAGAUUGGAUAGUGUAGAUAUUAUAUGCAAAGAUAUGUAGAUAUUAUAUGCAAGUGCAUUAAAACAUGUUCUAUAUUUGAGAAAUGCAUAAGAUAUUUUGGCGGGUAUUACUUUUGAAUAUUUUACUAAAAAAAAUUUAAAAAUAUAAAAUUAUAUUUAAUUAAUAAUUUAGUUUUGUUUAGGUGGGUAUUAAAUCUUUUUAGUAAUAUUUUACGUGAUUGGCCCAAGUAUUACGAAUGAGAAAGAAAAUAUUUGAAAAACACGUAAAUAAGAGAUAACGGAUAUUUUAAUUUAUGACGCGUUUGAGAAAACGUGUGUGAGAAACAAAAUAUUUAAGGUACCCCGUAGAUAUGAUAUAACGGAUAUUUUAAGUUAUAACGGGAAUUACGUUUGAGAAAAUGCGUAGAUAUUUGUAAAAUGCGUAGAUAGGAAAUAACGGAUAUUGAGGGUAUUUUUGUCAAGAAAAGUGACAGAUACUUUUAUUUUUAAUCGUUGGAUGAGAUCCAAUGGUAAAAAUUUAAGAUCUAUAUUUGAGAAUAAAUUAUUAUUUGAAAAAUUAUUUGAAACNAUAUCAAGUUAGUACCCUAUAAUUUUUUAAACCACAUGGUACUAAAGUGAGAAAGUGCGAAACUAUAUGGUACUAACUUGAUACACUAUAAACUACAGAAUACUAAAGUGAAAAAGUACAAAACCACUGGGUAUUAAUUUGAUACACUUUAAACCAUAUGGUACUAAAAUGAGAAAAAGUGAAAUCACAAUAGGGGUAUUUGAAGUUUUCCCUCGAUAUUAUAAUGCAGAGAGUUUUUAUAGUGUUAUGGCCAAAAUUUGGUUUGAACCGGCCGCAUUUUCAUAUAUAUAAAUUAAAUUAGAAACUUAUAUAUAUACAUAUAGAUCUAGAGAGAGAGAGAACGAGAGUGAGAGAGAGAACUAGGCUCCUAUAUAUACUUUCGAAAGUAUGGAGGCCUUCGUACUUGUAAGUUGUUUUCGAUGAUGAAGCAUUCGAUUUAACGAUCGGCUUCGUUAGACAUGAUUUAUAUAUAUUAUUGGAACUAUUUAGAAAUCAAAUUUCAUAAUUUUUUGACUUCAUUUGCCUAGUGAACGAGUAGGCUCAAAAUGAACAGUUGAAACUAAGAAUCUUACAAAAAAUAGUGUUGAAAGACGUAAGUUUAAAAUUGAAAGUAUUGUUCUUACUCUUGAUGUUAAAUAGAAUUUUCUAUUAUAGAAUGCGGCGGAAGUAUUAGUUCGUUCGUACCUUUUUCAGAAGUGAUUCGCGUUACAACUCGAUAAGCCCGGAUCGUCGAGGUUGAUUCACGUGUCCUUUGAUCGUCCUUGAUUAAAUCUUCUCACGUCCCAAACUCGCGAUGGAUCAAACUACAAACGAGCACGAUCACAAAUCCACCGUUCAAGUCCCUCUUAGAAUAAUAGGUUGAUGGAGGAUGUGGUUUCUCUCUUUCGUUUUCUUAUUCUUGCUUUUUUUUCCGUUCUCGUUCCAUUUGUUAUGUGGGAUCGCCCGCAUAUUUAUAAAGGAUUCCAAAAUCCUAAUAGCGUUAGAGAUAAGGUCAAAUCGGUUAUCAAUUGUUAUCCUAAUAUGACUAGGAUUUAUCUCUAAUUAGCUUUUCAAUUUGAAAGCGAAAUUAAUUCAAAUCCAAUUAGAUAACAUAAUAUCCGUCGGAUCGAACCCGCUUAUGGGCGUACCCGAUUCGAUUUAACCGAAUGCCAACAUCUAUUAAAGUUUCAUAUAACUUGAAUUCUUCUACACUUUUGAACUUUCAAACGUGCUACAUCGGCCGUUAAAUUUAGCCAUUUUUGAAACUCUUUGAUCACUUGGUAAAUGAUGCCAAAAUAUUAUGAAAUUUGGUUUUUAAAUAAUUCUAAUAGCGUAAAUCAUGCCUAACAGAGCCGAUCGCCGAAUCGGAUGCUCCAUCAUAAAAAACAACUUACAAAUACGGAAGUCUUCGUACUUUCGAAAAUAUAGGAGACGUACUCUCUCUCUCUCUCUCUCUCUCUCUCUCUCUCUCUCUCUAUAUAUAUAUAUAUAUAUAUAUAGAGAGAGAGAGAGAGAGAGAGAGAGAGAGAGAGAGAGAGUACGUCUCCUAUAUUUUCGAAAGUACGAAGACUUCCGUAUUUGUAAGUUGUUUUUUAUGAUGGAGCAUCCGAUUCGGCGAUCGGCUCUGUUAGGCAUGAUUUACGCUAUUAGAAUUAUUUAAAAACCAAAUUUCAUAAUAUUUUGGCAUCAUUUACCAAGUGAUCAAAGAGUUUCAAAAAUGGCUAAAUUUAACGGCCGAUGUAGCACGUUUGAAAGUUCAAAAGUGUAGAAGAAUUCAAGUUAUAUGAAACUUUAAUAGAUGUUGGCAUUCGGUUAAAUCGAAUCGGGUACGCCCAUAAGCGGGUUCGAUCCGACGGAUAUUAUGUUAUCUAAUUGGAUUUGAAUUAAUUUCGCUUUCAAAUUGAAAAGCUAAUUAGAGAUAAAUCCUAGUCAUAUUAGGAUAACAAUUGAUAACCGAUUUGACCUUAUCUCUAACGCUAUUAGGAUUUUGGAAUCCUUUAUAAAUAUGCGGGCGAUCCCACAUAACAAAUGGAACGAGAACGGAAAAAAAAGCAAGAAUAAGAAAACGAAAGAGAGAAACCACAUCCUCCAUCAACCUAUUAUUCUAAGAGGGACUUGAACGGUGGAUUUGUGAUCGUGCUCGUUUGUAGUUUGAUCCAUCGCGAGUUUGGGACGUGAGAAGAUUUAAUCAAGGACGAUCAAAGGACACGUGAAUCAACCUCGACGAUCCGGGCUUAUCGAGUUGUAACGCGAAUCACUUCUGAAAAAGGUACGAACGAACUAAUACUUCCGCCGCAUUCUAUAAUAGAAAAUUCUAUUUAACAUCAAGAGUAAGAACAAUACUUUCAAUUUUAAACUUACGUCUUUCAACACUAUUUUUUGUAAGAUUCUUAGUUUCAACUGUUCAUUUUGAGCCUACUCGUUCACUAGGCAAAUGAAGUCAAAAAAUUAUGAAAUUUGAUUUCUAAAUAGUUCCAAUAAUAUAUAUAAAUCAUGUCUAACGAAGCCGAUCGUUAAAUCGAAUGCUUCAUCAUCGAAAACAACUUACAAGUACGAAGGCCUCCAUACUUUCGAAAGUAUAUAUAGGAGCCUAGUUCUCUCUCUCACUCUCGUUCUCUCUCUCUCUAGAUCUAUAUGUAUAUAUAUAAGUUUCUAAUUUAAUUUAUAUAUAUGAAAAUGCGGCCGGUUCAAACCAAAUUUUGGCCAUAACACUAUAAAAACUCUCUGCAUUAUAAUAUCGAGGGAAAACUUCAAAUACCCCUAUUGUGAUUUCACUUUUUCUCAUUUUAGUACCAUAUGGUUUAAAGUGUAUCAAAUUAAUACCCAGUGGUUUUGUACUUUUUCACUUUAGUAUUCUGUAGUUUAUAGUGUAUCAAGUUAGUACCAUAUAGUUUCGCACUUUCUCACUUUAGUACCAUGUGGUUUAAAAAAUUAUAGGGUACUAACUUGAUAUAAAAAUAAAACCAUAGGAUACUAAUUUGAUAUAAAAAUAAAACCACAGAGUACUAACUUGAUACAAAAAUAAAACUACAGAGUACUAACUUGAUACACUUUAAACCACAGGGUACUAAAGUGAGAAAGUGCGAAACCACAUGGUACUAACUUGAUACACUUUAAACCAUAGGAUACUAAAAUGAAAAAGUACGAAAUCAUAUGGGGGAUUUUUGAAGUUUUCCCUAAUAUCAAUAUAUCCAUAAUUUAUAAGGGCGACAUUGUUGGGCACUUGUAAUUACACUCAAAGAAAGAUCCUUUUAGUCUCCAUUUUUUACUUAAAUGUUAAGAUUUUAAAAAGAUUGAAAAUUUUACAUAUGUCAUUCCCUUACAGAGAGAGAGAGAGAGAGAACAAAUUUAUGAGCGUUUCGAAGUAUUAUCAUGCAAUUAACCCAGCAGAUUUGUUAUUAAAAUUAUAUGAAUAUAAAAAUAUCACUUUUUAGCAGCUUUAAUUUUUAAAGAAUAAUAAUUAUUUCAGAUGAUUUAUCCGAGUACAAAGUUUUCUUUAAGCUUUCAGGAACAAGGACAUAUUUCAUAUAUAAUCACAAAUCAGAAAACAUUUCUCUUUGCAAAUCAAAUAAGGAAAAAUGUCUAGAGAAUAGUUUCAUAGCAUGCAAAUAAACAAAUUUCUCAAGCGGAAACAAUAUAUGCAAUCGCACACGACAAAAAAAUCAAAAUACUGGUUAAUCAAAGGGAAAUUUUCGAUUCCCAAAAUUUUAGCGCAUCUUACUUUGUCAUCAUGUCAUUUAAAAGAAUUUUACUUUAUUAUUCUAUAUAUCUUUUUCUUUAUAUCAAGUGAGGUACUACAGUACUACAAUUUGUAGACCGCAAAUUAAUGGAGUAAUAUAUUUUUCACACAUUAUCUUACUAAUCUAUAUUAUCAUUUUACCAUCCUAUAGUUUGUAAAAUAUAUUACUUAACUAUUUUUUUGGUUAUAAAUUUUAACCCUUUAGUAUCCGACCCGAUGACAGGUUAUUACAGUAAAAUAAGAAUAAAAUUACGGAAUAUCAAAGUAAAGUAUUUCAAACUCCGCGGUAGAGAACUGAAGAUGCGGUAAACCUCAAGGAUUUAUUUUUCAAUCAUUUCUCUGAGUCAUUUUUGGUCUUAAUCGUUUUUCAAAUCACUUCUACUGUAGAGGAAAUAAAAGGAGUAGAACAUUUCAACCCUUGGUGGUUAAUAAGGUGUGAUUAAUGUGAAAUGCAGUGUGUGUGUGCGUGCUUGAUGUGGUGGUAAUUACUUAGUCAAAAAAAAAAAAAAAGUGUUAGGUGAGCACACUAUGUCCAAGGUAGAGUUAGAUGGAGACAACAAAUAAUUAAGAAAUAAGAGAACAUGUUAAUUUCUAUAGUUGGUUUUGUGCAUGUAAUUAAGAAGCGACGUAUAAUUUGGCCAACACUUUAAUACCACAUUUUAUUUUUUGCAUUAACAAUAGCAUGAAUAAUAGAGCAGAACUUUUAAAUUCUAAAAUAGACUUUUUGCGAGGUUUUAAGUUCAGAAAAAAGGAGGCGUGAUAUAUACUGGAAAUCAGAAUUUAUUCCUCUGGAUGUAUUUUUGUAACAUUCGAAAAAAAUUGUAUGUUAAAAUCGUAAUUUCUGGGUAACUAUUUCUCAUGGAUCAAACAAAAUUCUUUUUGAGGAUUACUUGUUGCGAAGGUUAUUUCCAAGCAUAUGGUUUUUCACACAUAGAUUCUUAAAUGUUCUAGAACAUCUAAUCUCUUCAGUUUUAGAAUAUAAGAUACAUAUAAUCAUUGGUGUAAAUCUUACGCCUCUGCCCUCUUAGAGUUCAUAAAAAUUCAAAUGAAUUUUCAAUAAAUAAAAUAAUAAUAAUAUUAGUGGGAAAGAAGAUAAGGAUAAAACUUCAGUGACAAGCUCCCCAACGAUGCCUUGUUGGGCUCGAUCCUCUAUCAUGUAUUAAUUUUGCUUUCAUCCAAGAGUCUGUGGGUGUUCUUUAGCACUACUCAAAAAAAAAAAAUUUAAAUUCUAAAGAAACGUAUUAUAACCUUUAGAUAGAGAUAAAACUGACACAUAAAACGAGACAUUGUUGGAAAGCUCCCUACAAAAGUUUUUUUUUUCAAAAAUAAAAGCUCUUGAUUGAGUGGGGUGUAAAAUCUACACCUACUCUAAAGAGUGUACAGACAGUAUUGCUAAUUUAUAGCUAGGGGGAGACGAGUAAUACGGUGCACCUACACCUGGUGCAGGCAACAAUUUGUCCAGGUCAUGUUGGCCAAAACAUAAAAAAAGAAAAAAGAAAAAAAAAAGCUUUCUUGUGAUGGUUCACCAUUGCUUCUCACUAAAGAAAAUUCUACUUUGAACCUAAUUAUAAUGGAUGAGCUACACAGCAAGUAGUUACUGAGGAAUUUGCUUAUCAAUCAAAUCAUCAUAAUUAAAAUAACAAUCAAAGGCCUUGUCCGGUGGUUGUUAUCUGAAUUGCUGUUCUAGAGAUUGAAAUUCAAUCUUCUUUUGUGAUUACACCAGAAAACGAAAACAAAACCAAAAAAGGAAAACCGCAACACCGACUGGUGGUUGUUAUUUGAAUUGCUGUUCUAGAGAUUGAAAUUCAAUCUUCUUCUGUGAUUACACCAGAAAACGAAAACAAAACCAAAAAAGAAAAACCGCACCACCGACUUCGUAGAUAUUAGAAUAAUACAUGAACUAAGGAUAGUCCAGGAUAGCCAAAAAAUCAUAAAGAAAAUAAUAAAAGGAAAAAGUGCAGAAAUCCCUUCAAGUUAUUUAGCUCUUUUACAAACUUUCGAGCUUUUAUUUCCGAAAUUAGAUCGAUCUCUCUCUCUCUAGUUUAAAUUAUUAAUUACACAACCAGAUUUGAUCGCAUGACUCGUAUAAUCUCACAAAGCUUUAAAACACAAGAUAACCAAUGGCACCACCAAAAGAAUCCCAAAACACAAAUUCAAUGAGGUAAGGAAUAUCUACAAAAUGUCCAAAAAGGAACAAAAAUCAAAAUAGAACUUGUAUGAUACAGGAUUCUCUAUUGUUUCAUUAGUGUUGCUACAGCAGCAUGGAUGGGGCUUUCUCGAACCGCAACGGGGCGCCGGGCUAACGAGUGCGGUCCUCUCCACAGGGAAUUAGGGUUGCUCGGGAAAAGGCUCGCGCAUAACUUCAAUACCAUGUGAUUUUCCUGCUGCGCGAUAUUUUCUUCGGUUUUCACCUGCUCAGCCCUUUCAGCAGCUUCCUGCAGACAAUAACGCACCACAUGGUAAGUACAUAAUCUCUCUCUAGGGCAGCAUAUAUAUUGAAAAGGGCCAUUUUGCAAGACGAAUCCAUCUAUUUUUUUUUCGAUUCGCGAUUUUGAUCCACUUUUUUUGGUUCUUCGAAAAUGUUCGUAAUGGGAAUCAAUGAUGUAUCUAUUCAUUACAAUGAGCGUCGGGGGAAUCCAAAUCCGUCAAAGUCCGACUACCAUCCGAAAUUGCAAAUAAAAACAAGGGGAUCCAAAUACAUAAAGACCAAAAAAAAUGGUGGUAAAAAUAGUCCCAUCCCUAGAGAAUUAUACAUAUAACCAAAAUAAAAUGAUAUCAAAAAAAAUAUGUAGAGACAAUCAAGUGUGGCCAUGUUUGUUACCUCGUGCGGGUGAUCAGAGACUAAAUCCUCCUUUUGCUGAGUGGAUGUAAUAUUCUCCAGCUCAUUUUGAUCUUUGUAUUCGUCUUCAUCAUCGGAAGGUUGGUUUGAAUCAUCAGUUCCAUCCUCAUCGCGUGGCAAUUCCGACGGUUGAUUAUUUACACAAAUUUCCAGAUGAUCAACUUCCAUCUGAUUUUCGGUGACCUCGGGCUGAUCUGUUCGGGAAACAUGGAUCUGCUCGAAAUUUUCCAUUUUUUCCUCAUUUUCAGCAUCCUCCGUCUCGCCAUUGGCAUUGGGCUCUGGUGAAUGGUCCGAGCUCGAGGUUCCAUCAUCGCUACCAGGGUUAUCGGCGGGAGAGCUUUCCUGAAAUCACGUCAAAAAAAAAAUGAUAAAAAUAAGUUGCAAUCUACAGGGCAGUAGCUAAACAAAUAUUUAAGAAAGUAAAAGAAACGGAAAAGAAAAAGAAAAAAAAAUGGAACCAACCUCUAGUUUAAACUGCUGCGAAAGAUUACCAACAGUUAUAGCCAUCUCAUUCUCAACCACUGCAGAGUUCUCUUCACGUUCCUUCCUGCGACGCCUUACAACACAAACAGCGCACAAGCAGUCGCCUUUAUGGAGAUCAAUCCUGCGCCAACAUAUGUUAUAUCAAAAUUCUAAUGAAAAAUGGUAAUACAUUUUGUUUUAUAAUAAAAUGUAGGAUAGUAUACUUGCAGAGUCUCAAAAUUGUAACUCAGUCGAUUAGUCCCUGAAAUUUCUACAUAAACACUUCAGAACCUUCAGUCAAAAAACUAAAGUUCACCUAGGAUUCUUUUAAUUCAAAAAGUUUUGGUUAAGGCAUUCAGAUUAUCUGAGAAGUUGCUUCAGUUAAACAGAUUUAGCACAUCAAAUUAACCUUCAAAGGUCCCAGAUUUGCUAUACACUGUACUAAGAAAACCAUACAUUUGUUAUAGAGUGUACCGUACUACCAUGCAAGUUGAAAAGACCAACAACAACAAGAACAACAAAAUCUUUUCUUAUUACUGUCAUCUUCUUAAUCAAUUCCAUUUUCUAUGUUUUGAACUCUUCUUUUCUUAUAUCUUACCUUAUCAAUUUUCCUUGUUCACUUCAUUACGAUGCCGAAAGGGACAAAAAUGUAUGCAGUAUCAAUAAAGCCAGUAAUCACUUAGCAGCUUCUCAAUUCUUUGGGUGUCUUUAGAAAUAUAAAAGAAUACAUAUUCAAUCUCAAAUAGGGGGAAAAAGAACACAAAGUAGAAAAUUUAGUUACCCAUACCGUCGACGUUUGCGCUUUGACUUGCCUUUCUGAUGCACCUUUUCCUGACCAGAUCGAGAAAUUUCCUGAACCUCACUGUUCUCAGCAGCACCUACAAAAAGGAAUGAAGUGUUUUCCAUUUGCACCUUUGGGGUAAGAUUCAAACCAAUAUGAAAUAAAAUAAAACUAAAGAAGAGCAAAAAUGAAGGCAUGAUAAAUAGAUCAUUGCAAAAGGGCCUUGAACUUCGGAGUGCACCAAUAACUGACUGGAAUGGUACGAAUAACAUAUCAUAUGGGAAACUGGCGGAUAAAUUUGAAAUUUGAACGCUAUCGAAACUAAAUUUAUAUUGAGAAAUUUUUGUGAAUCAUCCCACAAUUGGAUAAAAUCAUAUCACGUGCACAAAAGAUGAUCCUUUGUCAUGUUGCCAACUUUGUUGGUAAAAUGCAGUAGAUGAUCCACACAAAUCAUAUUUCUCUCUCCUCAUCUACCUAUCUUUUCUCCACUCUAAAUUUCAAAAUACUUAUUGUGCCUUAUAUCCCAAUCAAAAUUCUGUGAUGUUUUGGCAGUAAAAAAAUAUGAGAUGAAACAUGUACAACAUAACACGAACAAACAACGAUCUACAAAAAGUGAGACAAAUCCCAUUUACUUUAUUGCUUCAAGUUCUCGACUAAAUUUCAUGUAGUUUCAAAAACAAAAAAAAAAGAGACUAAAAUCACACCUAGAGAAAGAAAAAGCCAUGAAACUUGAUCUUACAAUCUAUACAAGGAAUCGAAAAAGACAAUCUAAAAUUCAAUUAAUAACAUUGAGUUAUAGAAUAAGCACGUAACAGUAUAAGUACCUACAUAACAUUACAGUCAGCAAUUGCCUAAUACUUACUAUUAUCUGGCACUUCGGAAUACAAGCCUGCUGCUGACCAAUACUUCAUGAAAUUCUUCUUCACUCGUUUCAUGAGAUCCACAAUAUAAUCACCUUUAUUAUUAUACUUGUAACAGUUCUCCCAUAUAAACUGCACAUCCUUGUAAACAUCUUCUGAGUUCAUAUAUUUGCGACCGUUUUCUAAAUCAUUACAUAUGGUUCCAAAAUCCAUAGGAGUGUCAAUAAUGUCAAAAUAAUCCUGGAAAAGAGAAGUCAGAUAUUGGUCAAAGUACAGCAUAUAACUUUAUAUUGAACUUAAUUUAUUCUGUAAAGAUCAACCACGAAUGAGAACCAUGCAGUGGAAAUCUAAUAUAACAAAUAAAAAGUUACAUGCACAACCAACUGAAUAGAAAGGCUACAAACCCUUUUCGACAAGAACAUAUAUUAGUGAUAGAAAACAAAUAGCGAACACCAAAUUUACGUAUCUAUCCAUAAAUCAGACCCGUCUUUAAUACUCCAACAUUAGGUGAAGUAGUGAAAAAUUCAGUAAUAUAGAAUUUUAAUUUAGCAGAGCAAACAGUCAUAUGAAUGUUUAUUCAUCAUUAGCUUUCCAAACCGUAUUCUGUACACCUAUGUCAUGCAGAAAAAAACCAAAAAAACAAAAAGACAAAAAACAAAAUUUACAGCAUUGUUCAGAAGUUUAAGGUGGUCAAGUCAACUCAAACUUGCAAGAUAUACAACCAUAACAGAGAAUUUAGCCAUACCAAACUAGAUGAUUUAUAUAAGGGUCUAUUUUUACAAUUUGAAAUUUAACUUUAAAAGUCAAAUUUUAUUUUCAAAGUGAGCCUGAGGCUACAUAUACUUAGAAGCUAACUGUGCAAGAUACAGUUAGCUUUUAUUAUCUGCCUGCUAAUUUACCCCAACCAUGCUAAAGAAAAAGCAGAAUAAUACACAAUAUGUUCUACAUAAAUAUCAGCAGGACACUAUACUUACAGGGAUUCCUAGAGCAACAGGAUUAACGGGAGCAUUGAAGGGCCCAGCUGCAUCCAUCUUCAUAACUUUCUUAAUCACCUGAAAUACAACAUCAUCAUCCACAUGAAUUCUCAUUUCAGUGAUCAGCAUAUUCAGAAUGAUGAAGCCCAACUUGAAAAUUAUCACCCAAUCCUGGUCCACCACAUCAAGCUACAGACCACCCAGUGAUUUUACUUGGAAACCCCACCAUCUAGUAAGUUUCAGCUUCUUUUUUGGGGGGGCUCUUUUUUAUUUUAAAGUGGUGAAGAUUGUAUGUGGGGGGGAAAAAUGAGAUCAGAUCCCAAUGCAGUCCACAACAUGGCGGACAAGUUCCAGGCAAUAAUGAAUAAUCUCUUCAACUCUUACCGCUAGUGCUUCAGACAACUCCUUUUCAUUAUAGCGAGGAUCCUUCUCUCUUUGUAGUUUAUUCGUCGGCACCGAUACAUCUGCUUUUUUUUCAGUUGAAGAGACUAAAACCCUAGAUGUCUUGAUCUUAAUACUUCCCGUUUUUCUUGGCAGCGAUGUUUGCCCAUCUGAGUAUGCAGUGUCUUUCUCUACAGCUGCAUCAUUCGUCUCAACUGGAACUUGCAGAUUAGAUCUAUCGGUGUCACUGUGUGUUUGUGCAUCUGAAGAACUUCGGUGAGGCUCUAAAACUCUCGAAGAUUUUAGCUUCACCUUAAAACGGCCAUUUCCUGGUUUCCCUGUUGAUCCAUCAUUUGAUGCAUCGACACCAGUAGUUGACACGGUGCUGAGCUUCUCUAAUAAAGUAGCAGAUUCAGGAACUGCUUCUGAAUUAUGUUGAUCACGAUCGCUCUGACCCAAUUGACUACUCUCUUCUGUGUUCAGAGAGACCGGAGACUUAGUCAGAUCUUUUACCACCAGUUUUUUAGCCCCUUUCUUGUGACCUGUUCUCUUUCCACGCUUGCGUUUCAUGAUCUUCUUUAUUAGUCAAUCGAGCACCGUCAAAAUGUAAAUGAGCUCUGUUCCUCUGCCAAAUGCCACUAAAAGACGUUCUUGUCCCUGAAACAUGAAGAUUAGUUAUUACUAAUAGUUCUAAUAACCUACUAGAAAAGGACAAAUAGCGGUAUCAUCAUAGCUAAACUUUUAAUCAGCAAAAAGCAAGAGUCAGGUAAAGAAGAUUCUAAAACACAAUUAAUUUCACGAAAAUUUUAAUAAGCAACUCACUAGCAAUUAACAAAAGCAAAUUAGAUGAGUAAAUGAUUUACUCAAGAGUGUCAAAGUCAACCAGAGAACAUAUUAAUCUAUUCGAAUUAAAACAGUAAAUAAAACAAUUAAACCCCCCGAGCACACUAAUAUAAUUCCAGUUGUUCAAUGUUCUGAAAUUGGAAGAUUAACGGAAAUACAACAACAAAAAGAUGCAUAAGUGCUUGAUCAGAGCAUCACACUACUUCAUCUUUAUUUUUUCAACAAAAAAAAAGAAAUUUUUGCUACUUUUAAUUAGCAAAAAAGUUUUUGUCACAGCUACCAAAUCAGAUACUCCUCUCCUAUGCCCAGGAAACACUAUUCGCCAACUUCAAAGUUCUUAAAAGUAAAAAAACAAAUCUUUCUCACUUGCAUUCCAAAUUUCGGAACAAUCACGCGCCGAAUUCAUCGCUAACUUUCGUGGAACAUCAGAACCCUUAGUUUUGCAGGCCAUGUGUACACUAAUUAUUCUAAGUCCAUAAUUUUGUACUUAAUGACGUAUUCCCAACGCCUUUCUUAGGUUUUUUUUUUCUUUAGUAUCAAGACUUGAAUGAUACGACAGUAAACUAAAUAUAAAAAUAAAAUAAAAAAUCGGGUAAAAAAAAAAACGCACUAUUCGUCAGUGCAGUAGAAGAAUAGGAAACCCUAAGCGGAAUUAAUACGCAGAAACCUAAAAACAAGAGCAAACAUAUCCCUAAGCGAGAGAGACAUCGAAGAAACGAUUCAUGUAUCAUUAACGAAGCGAAGUUAGCGACAGAGAAGCAAAUCGAAGCUCAGUUUCUCCAAUCGAUGAGGGUUUCUACGGCGGAGAUUAGGGUUUCCAACAGGGGUUUUGGGCAGGAGAAGAAGAAGAAGAAGAAGAAGAAGAAGAAGAUACCUCGGGAAAGCUCGUCGGGGAGGUGAGGAGACGACGGCGGAGAGAGGCGGCNCGGAGAUCGGCGGCGGCGGCGGCGGCGCCGCGGUGGCGACGGGGGCGGAGGAGGAUGUUGGGGGGAGACGAGUUGGGCUCGCGUCUUUUCGGGUUUGGGCUCGGGUUCGAGUUAGUUCUAGAACCCAAAAAAAAAAAGGUUAGGGGCCUUAGGGCCACCGUCACGUGCCGGGACUUGUGUAGCACGUGAGUAAAGGGUCCGAGAUAUUACUACGUGAACCUGGUCCACCAUGUCAUCUGUGGACCGAAUCCUCUCUUUCAAAUCACCACCGCCCAUCUGUUGACCGAAUCCUCUCUUUCAAAUCACCACCGCCCACUAUUGGUGCUGGUAAAAUUAAUUUUUUGAAUUCCGUUGUUUGUUUUGAUGUAAGUAAGUGGUAUAAGUUGUUUAAGGCUUCGUUCGAUUCGGGGUUAAAUAAAGAACUAGUUAUUUAAGAGAUAGGUAUAAGUUCAAGGUUAAGUGUGAAAUAAACUAAUUUUGUGAUGAAAACUGGAUUAUUCCUAGAAAUAAGAAAAAUAGCGUUAAAAAGAAUAGUGUGUAGUUAUAAACAGAAAAUAACUUUAUAUUUGAAUUUAAAUAUUUAAAUUUUAUAAUUUAAAUUUUAAAUUUAAAUAUAUAUAUAACUUUAAAAAUUAAAAAUUCAAAAUAAAAUUUGUUUUUAAAAUCUCAAAUUCAAAAAUUUAAAAUUCUAAAUUUUAAAUUUUAAAUUAAAAAUAUUAAAUAUUAAAUUUAAAAUUUAAAAAAUUUAAAAUAAUAUUUUAAAAUUUAAAAUUAUAUGUCUCAAUUUUAAGCUUACAAAUUUUUAAAUUCAAAAAAUUUAAAAUAUAAAUAUAAAAUUUAAAAUUUAAAAUUUAAAUUAAAAAAUAGAAUUGGGUGGGAUUAAAGUUAAUCCCACCCCAAUUCCAUAGAGGGGGUGGGGUUGGUUAAACCCCACCCCAAAAGGGUUAUUCCAGAGUAACUCUUUUGGGGUAGGGUUAACAAACCCCACUCGCCAAAAAUAUUGUUUGGAGUUAAAGGGGAGGGAUAACACUCUUAUCCCUCCUUUAAUUCCAAACCAAACAGAGGUUAAGGGUGUUUGAUUCCGCUACAUGAUCUAAAAAUAUUUUUACAAAUUUAAAAAAAUUUUAAAUUUUUAUUUUUUAUUAUUUUUUGGCGAAAAAAAAAACUAAAUAUACAAAAAAAAAAUUAUUUAUUUUUUCCACCAAACCAGACAAAUGUAUUUUUUUUUUCCUUUCAACCAAAUAAAUAUUAAUAAAAAUUUAAUUUUUUCUACAAAUCAAACACUAUAAACGUAUAAUUUCUUUCCACCAAAAAUUUUUUUCACGAAAAAUUAUUUUUUUUUUAUUUUACGUUGAACCAAACAGACCCUUAACCCUUUCUCAUUUCUAAGAAUCCAUUAAUUUCCUUCACAAGUGGUGGAGAUUCAAAGGGGAGAAACAAUGGACGGUAACGGAUCAUUUGGUUCACGAAUGAUAUGGUGGACCAAGUGUAGGCAAUAUUUACGAGAAUAGUGGUAUAAAUAGGCCGGUGGGCCCGCUCGAGCCCCUUUUUGAACAAGAACUGGGCCUAUGCAUGGCCCGGCCCAAGUAAAAACAAUUUAAAAAUUUUGAUAUGGGCUCCACCCAAUUAGUUCCAGGUUGCUCCGGUCAAUGCGGGUUUCGGGUCCUCGAGUUUGUUAAGUCAAUUCGGGUCGGAUCGGAUUCUGGAAUCAGAAGACACAUAUGAAUGACAUAAAUUUGAACUGCACCUUUUAUUGCCAAAUGAUUUACUCAUCAAAAUACUUAUCAAUCAUCAAUUACACAGCCUUUGUAUACAAAUCCGAAUACUAAAAGCACAUCCAUCGUCGAGUAUCUCAUACAAGACCUAAAAAUUAUUACAAAAAUACAACACAAUUCAGUAGUUCUCGGUGUAAUAGCUCAGUACCGAUCAAUCGGAGGAAGUCGAGAACCGAUAGGAGGCAUAUGAGAUGGUGCAGUUUGUCCAGCUGUGGUGAAUAAGCUCGGCCUUGGCUUUCACGCCCGCGGCGCCGAGAGCUACGUGAAGAGGGAAUAAGUGGUCCGGCCACGGGUGCGCCAUUUUACCGUACGGCGCCCUCUCCUCGAAGUUGUUUAUAUCGUCGUGUCUACGAAACAGCAAAGAAAAAGAUCACCAGUGAUGUGAAUUAAAUAGAACAAAAUAUUAGACCUCACUGAGAACAAAGCGGAUUUUAUGCAGACGAAGUUACAGAACAGAAUUUGAGAGUUUCGCAAGAAUCAGAAGUGACAAUUUCCGACACGACACGACAUGAUAAAGCAGCUGAAUAGAUCACAAUUAAAAAUUGCUGCGAGAAACUCGAGACUACGAGCCCGAAAAUACAACAAAGAAAUAAGUUUAAGCUUUUAAACAUUUAAGGUAAGUUAUGAACACAAUCUUAAAACUAGUACGAGAAUCGCCACCUCUGGACGUAAUAGUGAUUUGAUAAUUAUCCUAGAAUAAUCCGGUUUGAUCAGAAUAACUUCCUCGGACCCUUUCUCUUUUCUUUUUUUUUAAUGUGUUUAGCAUGAAAGGAGGGUAUUAACCUGUUCAUACCUUCCGUUAAUGAGAGAUUCUUUAAGCCAUGUGUCGAAACCCUCGGCCCACUUGGCGAUCGGACCGCCGUCCGGCCCAAUGCUCCUCAAAUUAUGUGUAGCGUUCCCGGACCCGAGAACAAGAACCCCUUCAUCUCUCAAGGGAGCCAAUGCUUUCCCCAUGUUAUAGUGAUACGCAGCACCCUUUCUGCUUUGAAUAGAGAGUUGGCAUACCGGGAUGUUCGCCUCAGGGUACAUGAGCAUGAGAGGGACCCACGCGCCGUGGUCGAGCCCGCGACUAGCGUCCUCCCUCACACGGCCAAACCCGGCUCCUUCCAGAAGCUCUUUCACCCUCUUUGCUAAGUUCGGCGCACUGGGUGCAGGAUACUUCAGCUGCACGAGGAAAAGUGAUUCAGUUAGCUCAAUGUAGAAGAUUGUUACCCUUUUGCUCUUUCCGAGCAAGAACGGUGAUAAGAAUCUUCUCUCGGAGGUUUCAUUAAAGAUUAAUUAAUGACUCAACAAACAAUAUGGAUAUAACUAAUUCAACCAACUAAUAGCACAUCCACCGAUCUUAUCCAAUUAAAUAUAAUAGUACAAAGUUAAUAUCGGCUUCGAAAUAGAUACUAUGAAGGGGGGAAUAAAAAUAAACAUUAUAAAAUGAGCUCAUGAUUUAUGUUUAGUCUGUUUUAUGCAAUACCUCCUCUCUUUUUUUCUGACACAAUGCUGAAAACUAGCGAAAUUCCCGUCAGUGCGACUGCAAAUUAGAUGAACUAUCAGCUAACUUUUUUUUUUUUUAUCUCAUCUUGUUCAAGCAAUGCAGGAAUUGUUUAACAUGACUAGUUAAUUGAAGAUAAAUCAUAACAUAAGAAAGGGUUAGGAGACGAGUCGUAUUCAGAAGAGAGAUAGAGACUUCUCUUGGCACCGAAGCAAAAGCAACUCGUCGCUCAAAUUUUGGUGAUGUUCUUCGUUUACGCGAGAAGUUAUUCCUCGAAGUUGCAGAUUACCAACAGGCUCAAUAAUCCGAUUUUGACGGAUUCAACUAGGAACAUAAAUAGAAAUUAGAGUGUCGGCUUCGAAGGAUCGACAAAAUUUGCAUGAAUUGUAAUACACCACCUGAACAUUAAAAAGUUGAAAUUUACCAUCUUAAUUAUACUUCUAUUUCAAUCCUACAUAUAUAACUGGAAAGAUGCAGUUAGGUCCAUGACAAUCUAACUAAAUGAUUAUACACAGAUGAUAAAUUGUAAUUAAUUAAUCCUAGAUGGUGAAUUAGGAUUCGGCAAAAUUGACACUAACAUCAACAAUCCUAUAUCCCAAAAGAUCCAAUUUUUAAGGAUUCAGAAGCAAGAUAAGAGAAAUCGAUGAAAUGGAUUCGUUAGAACCCUAACUAAAAUUCCAAUGAUUCUAGGGCAUAUUUCCCCAAUAAAAAGAACAAUUUUUUUGCACUCAAAUAGAGAACAUUCAUUCACGCCAACGUCCCAAACGAUCCAAUUUUGUUAAAUUCAGAGGCAAUUGAAGAGGAAACAACAAAAUGGGUUCAUUCAAACCCCUGAAAAAAGCAUCACCCGCCUGGUACACAGCCGUGCGAAUCGGGAAAAGUUGAAUUACAAAUUGAACUAAAAUUCAUGUGUUUCUAGGGCACAUUUUCCCCCAGAAAACAAAUUUGAAAACAUCAUCACGCUCCGACAUCCCAAAAACGCCCAAUUUUGAUGGAUUCAGAAGCAAUCGAAGAGAAAGCAACGAAGCUGAUUCAUGUAGAACGAUCACCUGGUACAUGGGCGUGGGGAAACCGUAGAAGUCGUGGAUGGUGUCGUGGGGGGCUGCGCCAUCAACGGCGCCAUUAACGGCGGGGUCGCGCGUGUCCCAAUGGGCGGAGACGACGAGGAUCGCCCUGGGCGCGGCCUCCAAAACCCUAGAUCGCCAUGAGCGGAGGAAGCCCCGCGCGGGGAUGCUCUCGUCCACCGCGAGCGUCGGCGAACCGUGGGAGACGAAGAACGUAUCCAUCGUACGCAAUUUCAAAUUCAAAAUUUUAUAUUUUAUAUUUCAAAUUCAAAUUUUUGAUUUUUUUUUUUUUCUUUGAAUGGGGUUUUGUGGGGAAUUUUGGGUGGUUUAUAUAUAGAUCGAAGGAGAGAGGGGUGGUUGAGAAAGUGAAACUAGUUUCCUGCACCGGGUGUACAAGAACGUCUCAUACACCGAAUUAUUAUUAUUAUUAUUAAAAAUUAUUAUUUUGGGAGAGGUUGGUAUCAUCGGUGACGUCACUGGGAAAGAGGAGAAAUAUUUUUCAUAAAAGUAAAUGUAUAUGUAAAAUAUAUGUUUUUCUAAAAAAAAAUUGUUUAAAUUAAUAUGUAUACGAUUUCUCCAUAAUAUUAGCCAGCAAUUUAUUGUAAAUUAGUGAUUUGAAUGAUUAAUUGCAAGUAGAUAACUCUAAUUCGUUGAACAGAUUAUUUUGAAGGGUUCUUUGAAUCAUUCAGCCUAAUUAUUUUUUGGAAAUAAUUUUCAAGAUUAGUCAAUUCUCUGAAUUGUGACACCCCAAUAGUCUCACAUCAUAUAAUUAUGUCUGGAAGUAUAUAAGUUUGAUUGGGUUAGACAUAAAAACUGAACUUAAGCAUUUUGGACUAGUGGUUUGGACCCAACGAGUUAUUAUUACUAGUGGACUGGGGUCUUAAUAAGGCUAGCGAGACAAGUCUCACAUCACCUCGUGAUUUUGAGCUGUGUUAGUCUCAUGUGGGAGUAUAAAGCUUGAUUGGGCUAGACAUAAUAACUGGACUUAAGUAUUUUGGGCUAGUGGUUUGGACCCAACAAGUUAUUAUUGCUAGUGGGCGGAUCGUUACAUGAAUCUUGAUUAUUACUAAACAUUAAUGGAAUGGUGAUGCUUCAACUGUCAAAGAAUCAAUUAUCCGAUUCAGUUCUCUGAACCUUGAUUAUAACUGGACAUUAAUGGAAAGUUGGUGCUUCAACUUUGAAAGAAUCAAGUAUCUCAAUUAAUGGCUUUAUAUAAGAGUAUAAGAAAAAGAUUUGACUUGUUAUAAAAAAGACUACCAAAUAAUAGAGUACAAAAAAUGUAAAAGGUAAACUUCAGUUUGCCCACGUAUAGUUUAGCUUAUUUUUAUUUUUUUCGUCAUGUGAUUCAGAAAGUUGCUUAUGGUUCAUAAUUUAGAGGAUUACCGAAAUAUUACAUAUCAAGAUUUACAAUAUUCAGUAAAUACUGUAUAUUUUAUUUUUGAAAUAAUAAGUUUGUUAUUAAAUUAUCAAAGUCAUUUACAUUUAGACGUUGUUAAAAACUGGUAUCUUUUUAUUAAUGAACUACAUACUAAUGAUUUUAAUCAAAUACGAAAACGAGAAUAUCUUCUAACUCAUAAUAAUCUUAUUGUAAUAAUUUUACUAUUCCACCAACAACUUUUAUAACUAUCCAACCUGAAUUGAAUAAUAAUAAUUUAAAUAUUUUUAAUAAAAAAUAUAGAAAAUUAUCAAAAUAUUACAAAGUGACAAGCAAAUGGAGCCAUAACAAUCAGCAAGUGAUAUUCAAAGAUAGCACACACUGUACACUGUGUGAUGCCAGGAUGUCAUCUCUAUGCAAGCACAAAGAGCAUCUUGAAGUCCAACAGAAGCUUCUGGUAUCUGCAUGACUGCAUACAAUGUAGAAGUUGAAUAGAAGUCUAUAAAAUCUAAAUGCUGUGAAGGUUGAGACAGGAUCUUGUCUAGGGUAGUUGGGUACAAAUGAUAGAUUGAGUAGAUAAUUUAUUUACACAUUAAUACGCAUGGAAUGUAUUUCUUUUUUUUCUUUUUUUUUUUUGAGAGAAAGGUAGCAUGUUACCCGUUUCGUUUAUUUCAUUUAGAAAUAAACUUAGCUGAAAAUGUGAAUUAACUAAGAUUCGAACUUAGGUCUCGGGUACCGACCACCAAACCCUUUUGCCACUUGCGCUAAGGACGGUCGGUGCAUGAAAUGUAUUGCAUCUCCAAAUUAGAUUGGAUAGAAUAAAAUAAAAACGUAAUACUGAGAAGAAAAAAAAAAAAAAAAAAAAAGACAACAUAUUUUUUGAAAGAAAUUUAAGUCUUUUUAGCUAUUGUGAAAUGGCCCCCCCUCUUUUUGGCUAUUGGCGCUAUCUUUAUUUUUAUUUCUUAGAAUCGAAUGUUUAGUAAUUAAAUUAAAAUUUUCGUCCAAUUUAUUGAUGAUUCCAUCAAAUUGUAAUAUUUUUAACUUUUCUAUAGCAAAGAAAAACAGGGGAAAAAAGUGUCAAUCACAAAAGUGGAAGGUGAGGAAAUUCUAUUCAAAUCCUACUUAUGAACUAUUGGAAAAUAUAACAUCCCACUUAGUUGAAACAAAUUGUUGAUAAAGUCCCUUCAUUGUUGUGAUUUCAUAGAGAAUUAUGCAGAAACAGAAAAAGAAAAAGAAAACCCUUCGGGAAGCAAAAUCUGAAAAAGCUACAAGAAUCAAAAGAUGAAGAAGAAAAAGAUUGAGAAAAGCCUCUGCUUUUUUGGAUACUUGAAAAUAAGAAGAUGUCGAGUAAGGAUAAAGUAAACAAGUAUUUCUUCUUGCUUGCUUGAAAAUAAAAAGAUGUCAAAAUGUAAAUACGAAAGAUGUCGCGACCAAAUUUAGAUAAAACACCUUGUAUGUAAAAUGCACUAUAUUGAGAUAUAAUGAUUAUUCGGGCCUUUCGAUAACUAAAGUCGAAAAACUUCUGCGUCAUUCGCUGAAACCAAACCCCCAUCCAACACAAAUUAUCCCGCUAUAACUUAUUCCGACAUUCCAACAGGCCCUAAUUCUAAAAUUACACAGAUAUCGAAUAAAUAUUAUUGUGGACUACAUGAUCUCGACCACUGCUCGGCCGAUGAUCUUUCCGCGGUCGAGAUCUUCAUACGCGCUAUUUGCCUCCUCGAAUUUGCAUUUUCUCGAGACGGAUUUUUGAAGGUUGAAGAUGCCCGUCUCUGCAAGCUUCACCACCUGGGGAAGAUCUUGCCUCGCCCUCGCACCAUAUGAACCGAUGAUUUUUAUCUGUUCACAAGAAGAAUACAUCAUGACAGCAAUGCACAAGUUAACCAACUGGUAAUAAAAGCGAUAACAAUAAUACUUGUACUAAACCUAGUAGUCGGUUGUACUAAACCUAGUAGUCGGUUUAAUGGUCACAUCAAUUCUUAUCGAAUAUUAAAAAUAUUACAUCUUCUAGCUACUACAUAUAACAAAGGAUUGCUUUCAAGUAACUAGUAAUAAAGGAGUUGGUGAAACAAACAAAUCCGUGCAAUAUCCCAUUAAUUCUCUUGCAAAUAUGCCUGUUUGAUGGAACCAAAAAGGAAAAAAGAAAAAAUAAAAAGGAUUGCUAUUAAAUUUAUUUACAGGAUUAUUGCAAAUAAUCCAGUAUAUACUCCAUGAAAGUGAUAAGGGAAAUAUUGAGAACGAAAUAAGAGAUUGAAUUGCCCAACUAAUUGAGAUACGCUAUCUUAUAAAGCCUAAAAUUUUUUAUUGGAGCAACAGGUAUGUAGGUAUACCUGUCUUCGAACAAGACGAGUAAUAUCCACCUCGCCCAUCACGUUUGUCGAAGCAAGGCCGAUCAUAACAGCUUUUCCUCCAUCACACACGCUUUUCGUGCAUUGCAUAAAUGUCUGCGGCUUCCCUAAUGCUUCUACAGCCACAUCUACACCCCUCCCCCCGGUAAUUUCCUGUAAAGAAGUCAAAAUUAAUGAUUACACAACAACCAGGAUCACAAAGUUUACAUUGCAACGUAUUUCUGAACUUCCAACUUCAACAAUAUGGUCCCUGAACUUUCUCAUAUAUUACAAUUCCAUCCUUCACUGUGAGAAAAGAAAGAUAAAUGUUCCUUAAAAUGACCAUUUUACCUUUCUCACAUAAAAUGAUGUCCUUGUUUCAAUACCUUUUAACAGGGUUAGAAAGGUCAUUUUGUAUGCAAUAUGUCAUGUAUUGCUAGAUAUCUUUUAGCAGCCAAGGAUAAAAUUGCACUCCGUUAAAAUGAAAAGAUUUAGAACUAAAAAGUGUUUGACUGAAAAAGUUCAGGAACUACGUUACAUUUUGUCUUUUGUCCUUCGUAUUUCAAUGACGAAUUAGAAAGGCUGGAAUGAUCGCUUCGGAUGAAUAUUUAUACAAAACAAUCACCAAAAAAGAAACUCCAUCUAAGAAAUUAAUUAAUCUUGUAACUUUUUAUUCGUGCCUGGAUUCUUUCAACAGCAUCUUCUUUUUGUGCAUUUAUUGUAUGGGUAGCGCCAAGCGUUGUGGCAUUUUGGAGCUUUUCAUCCGAGAUGUCGACUGCUAUGACUUCAGAAGCUCCAAAGGCUCGGGCUAUCUGUAGACAACUGCAGGGAAAACAGAGAAACAAAAUGAUGCAGUAACUUAAUUUUCCAUCAAAAGAGAAGAUAUACAAAUCUAUUUGCAAUAGUAAAGCCUUCAAACUUAACGAGACGGAAACUUCAUAAAUGCUCUUACCAAUCAGUGGACACAGCAUAAAGUACAAAUAAAAUGUGAUAAUAGGAUGAUUGUAGUAUCCACAGGCCAUAGCUGGAAGCUUUCUAUGCAAAUGGAGAAACUAGAUGCAAAUCUAACAUUAAUGAAAAUUUGACCUAAAAAUCAAAAACAGUCAAUUUCAUGAGCGCUUAUUAGAAAUAUGUUACAAAUAUGUUGUGAUAAAGCAACUAACAUGCUCUCCAUAAAGCAAGACAUUCUAUAACCUCAACAUUUUCCUGAAAACAAUUAGUAUAUUCGAGUAGCACUUUAUAGAACCAAACUGUGUUAAGAAAUUGAGGGGAUUUUAAUGAAAAUGCUAUUAGGGCUUCUUCGAAAACUCUGCUCAGGGAGCACCUUCUGCAGAACUCCAAUUGAGCCUAACAGGCCAUUGGUGGAUAAAUAAGAAAAUCAAGAAAGUUUUAAAUUCAGUAGAAGAUUGGUGGUCACCUCGAUCCGACCCCACCAACUCCAAUUACGGCAACUGAAUCCCCAGCACGCAUCUCGGCAGCGUGCCUCAUGGCACCAUAAGCAGUAAAGACUGCACAUCCUAGAAUCGCUGAUUCUGUAUAUGGCAGUGAGUUAGGAAGAACUGCCAAUGCAUUGGCAGGCACAACACAGUACUCAGCAAGUCCACCCAUACUGUACAUGUACACCGGCUUUCCUGUUAAAUUUUUUUUAAAAAAAAAGGAAGAAAGGAGUUUUAGGCACUAGUAUACAAAAUGGAAAGAGAUAUUUAUAUAUCUUCCUCCGGAAAAUUAUCCAUUUAUAUGUAUAUCCCUGCAGAAUCAGAAUUAUCAUAUAUGCUCUUCAGAAACUUGAUUCUCUCGUACUGAACUAACGAACCUUUGAACAACCUUUUCUAAAUUCAAAAACAAUAUUACCCCAUUACAUGGCUUACACAAGUAGACGCAUACAGUGCUUUAAAUUGCGGCCGCUAUAGCAGAUUUUAUGUGCUACCGUUACGUUAUAAUAUGUAAAGCGGUAUAUAACGGAUCGGGUUCAUAGCGGCCGCUUUAUCGGCAUAGGACCCGUUGAAGCGGCCGCUAUAAAGCAGUUAGAAAGCGGGCGCUAUUAGUCCAAUUCUUAAAAAAGUGCAAACGGGUUAAAAUAGCUUAAUGUUUCAGAUUCUUAAAUGAAAUACAAAGAUCAAACCAUGUUUCUAAGGGUUUGGAAGAUAAUUAUUUACCUAAGAUAUUCUUUUUGACAUUCAUUUACAAAUUGUUUAGAUUGUUAAUGGAUUAUAGAUUUUCAAAUGUUAUGUCUUUUUGGUUUGCUAAAUAUUUCGAAGUUAAUUUUAAAUUCUUAAUAGAUAACGAUAUUAAUAUAUAUAGGCUUGCAAUACUAAAAAAAAAAGAAUGAUUAGUUGUCGUUUUUUCAAAAUUAUAUGUAUUUUUUAUAAGGAAUAUAAACAUAUUAAAUAUGCUUUUAUGAAACCCGCUAUGGGUUCAUAGCGUCCGCUAUGACGCCCGCUAUCCAUUUUCCGCUAUGAGACUCUCCAAAUGCUAUGUACCCGCUAUCCGUUAUUUACAACCUUAGAUGCAUACCAUUGCUGCGUAGAAAAAGUCGUGUUUCGCCAUCAUAGAGUGUCCCUUUGGCACGAUUAUAUGCGAAGAAGGCCUCACAUAGAUCUUCUUGUCCCUAUAUAUUUAUAUUGAAAUAGGUCAAGCCACAAAGAACUAAUUUAGCAGUAAAACAAAUAAAUAUUCAGAGAGAAGCAAAAUCUUGAUAACUACCUUAACACAGUAAAAGCAAUUGCCACAAGGCAUUAUGAAAGCACCAACUACAUGACUCCCAAUAGGAAACCUGAAGAUGACAAGUAUCAAAUAUUAUUUCUGCUGAACAUUAUUGAAGGUUCCCUAAUUGAACAGACAAUAUCUCAUAAUAUUUGCAAAAGGGAAAAAGAACAGACUAAGUUGCAAAUACAGAAGAAAAAAAAAAGAAAUGGAUAUUUUUGCAAAGUGGCCGAGAAACAAGUUUCGCUCUCACAAAUUCUUGGCACAUGUAAUUAUACCUCUCUUUAAUCCGAUUAUCAGUGUGUGCACCAUACUCAACAACCUCUCCGGUUAUUUCAUGCCCCACAACACAAGGACUUGCGAAUGGGAGUUCACCUUUCAUGACAUGAAGAUCGGAGUGACAAACGCCACAGGCUGCAUUUAUUGAUCAAAGGCAGAUUAAUAGCAUAAGCCGUCAUUUUGAUAAGCUUCAUAUAACCCACAAUUAGGUCAAAAAAGAAGGAAACAGCAAUUGCCGUAUACAGGAAGGAUGAUUACAAGGCAGAGUAACAAACCAUAGUACAAGUAUAUGAAGAUAAGUUCAGAAAUUUAAGUAAACUCUUCGUCUAUUGAGAUCUCAUGCUGUCCUGGUCGUGGCAUCUAAUUAUCUCAAAGCAGUACCAAAUGGUGGUUAACAAAUGCAGAAGUUUGCACAAAGUUAAAUUUGACAGUUGACCAUGUAGUUUAAAGAUUAGUCUCUAUAGUUCUCCCCAUUUGUACGUCACAAUACAUGGAGGAUUUGACCACAAGCGCAUCAGUAUCCUAUUGAAUGAUAUUUCGUGAAGACAAUUUGUGAGCUCUCAAUAGGAUAUCAUUAUUUGGUUUAAGCCAAACUAAUUUUGAAUCAAUUUUGUAAUUAGAUAUGGAUGAGACAACUUGACAACCUUGCUGGGUACUUCAAUUCUUGUAAUUUCUAUGAUAAUCCCUCAAAUCAUCAAUCCUUUUUUUUUUUAACAAAACACAAGAACCUAGCUGAGAUAAAGACAUCUGGAUAAGGAAAGGUCAACUUUUAACCUCCAGUGCAGAAAAAGUUUUCUCAUCUUCCCACCAAAUUUCCACCUACUUCUCCGAACCAUCCUGCUCCGACAAUCCCACUCUUCCUCUCCUCUUCUCCCUUUUAUAGAACCUUUUAAUAGUACUAUCCUAAUUUGAUUGAUGAUCUCCAACAAAAUUCAGAAUUUUCAGCCUACUAACUAAAACAUUCUCACUCCUCUUUUCUCUCGCUCUCUCCUUUAAUCGGAUCUCAACUUCUAUAUGCAUACGGCAUCCUUUUUCUUAAGACACAAUAGGGUGAGCAUUAGGGGAAAAAAGAAGAGAUCCUAAGAGUAGGUCCGAAGGAAUCAUAUGAGAACCCGAAAAGCAUCCCAUUAGUUAAAAAUACUUAAAAAUACGUCGAAGAUGAAUGGAAUUGACCUGAACUAUGGCCUGUUUAGGGAUAACUGCCGAACUCUUAAAAGUUCUGACUUUGCUAUAUAACGCUUCGAUUCCUUUGGAUUUAAGUCAUUUAGUAGGUCUUCAGUCAUAAAAUUUGCUGUACUUUAACAAGAACGUUGCCACAUAAAUCACAUGAGAUACUUAUCAAAUUAAUUACGAAUUGAAAGGUUAUAUAUCGAAAUCAAAAGUUUCAGGGUUGACUAGUCAUCUCAAAUCGGGGCAUAGUUCAAGUAACUGUGAUAGGUUUUUACCUAAAAAAUAUCAUAAACCAUUCUUGUUGUUAGUGAAUUAAUAAUUUAACACAAUGUGAGGUAUAUCAUUGGCAUAUUCUUCGAAUCUACAGUUAAAAUAACCUAGUAAUAUAAUACACAGCAUGAUGAUAGUGGGGCACUGUUACGUAGUUUACAAAAAGUUGAGGAACUAAUCUGCAAUAAUCCAAAGACCAAAUGGAUUUUUUAAUAGGAACAAAACAAACCGAUCAACAUCAAAUCGACAGAUACCCAAGAUCGGAGACUAAAGCCCUAAUAACGCGAUCGAUUGCGAGGGGGUAACGAUGAGACCUUUGGUCCUGAUGAGGAGCUCCCCGGCCUUGGGGCGGGGCAUGCGGAACUCCUCGACUGCGAGGGGUCUCCCGGGCUCCCAGAACACGACCCCGCGCAUGGAGGAGGGGGCUCCGUCGACGAAGAACCCUGCGGCGGAGGAGGCGCCGCCGCCGCCGCCCCGCUCCACCCCCGCCGCGGCGGCGCAGAGGGAUCGCCGGAGAGGGGAGGGGCGGAGGAGCUUGGGGAGGCGGCGAAGUAGGGAUCGAGAGGCGUAGGAGGAGAAGAACGCCAUUGGAAGAGGACGAGGAAGAGAGAGAGAGAGAGAGAGAGAGAGAGAGAGAGAGAGUAGAAGAUGGAGAGACUCUCGGAGACGAAGUAGAGAGAGAGAGAGAGAGAGAGAUUUGUAUAGUGUUCGUUGAGGGGGCCCACCAAAAUAUACAUAUAGAUAUAGGGAUAAUUACUUUAUACCCCUCAACACAUCUGAAAUUUCUUAUUUAUCCCUGUUUUGUUUUUCAAAUAUAUUGCUCGUAUAUUUCUCUAUUAUUUAAAAAAUAUACUGUUAGUGUACGUUGAGUUAUCUCAGAUUAAAUAAUUUAAUUUAUACCAUAGUUAAAAAUAGUUGAAAUACCUAUUUUGUUUCUAACUUAAGGACAAAUAAAAAUAGCUGGUGAUGUAGAAGAGCAUUUAAAAGAAUAAAAAAAUCAAAAUACUUUUUUAUCCUAACUUAACAGUAAAUAAAAAAAUCGGUGAUGAUAAAAAAAUAUAUUUAAAAGAGUAAAAUGAUAAUUUCCUAAAGAUAACGAUGGCCCCUAAUAGUUCAUUAAUAGAAUUUAACUCUAUAAAUAUAUUUGAAAAACUUUAAAAUUUUGAAAUGAUAUUUUUAAUGUGAACCAGAAAUAAAUAAGAAAAGCCAAAAAAUUUUAUCCAUCUUUGGAUCAUAUUUGGAUAAAUUGAUAAGAUGAUUAAUUAGAUUAAGGCUUUAUAAGAUAAGAUAUGAAUACAUUUUGGAUGAUUUAAAUCUAAUAAUAUAUAUUUUAAAUUGAUAAUUUUUUAAAGGAGAAAAAAUAAGCUCAAAAUAGUUGGAACAAAAUUUGCCAUUGCAUACAUUAUUGUUUUUUUUUUUUUUUUUUGAGGGUCAACACAUAUAGAACUUAUCAAAAUUAUGGAUCACUUUAAAUUUACUAUCCGACUUUUUAAAAAUUAAUUUUACUAUCUAAAAUUUUAUUCUAUUUGAUUUGAGUCUAUCAACAGUGCAUUGACUUAGGAUUUAAACUUAUUUCUUACUUAAUAAAUUUAUAAUUAUAAAAAUUAUAUAAAGUAUACUAAGUAAAUUCAUAUAGAUAAAUAAUGUAUUCAAAGUUUAAAGUAAAAAUACCAUCGAAUGACUCAAACCAAAAAAAUUAAAAUUAGAAUUUUAAAAGAUGGAUAGCCGAAUUAAAAUAAUUUAUAUUUUAGAUAAGUUUUGGGCCAAUUUGCAUAAAAAAUUCAUUUAUUUUAGAUUUUUGCAAAACCGGGCCACCUUUUUCGUUUUUGCAGAUUCGGUCCACUUUUUCAGCAAACUGACCAAAAUACCCUUUUUACUUUUUCUCUUUCUUCUUUCUCUCUCCUCUUUCGUUUCUCUCGUUCUUUUUUUUUCUCGCCGGCAGAGCGGAGGCGGAAACGGUCCGUCUCGCCUCUCACCCUCAUUCUCUAGCCCUCGCCCUCGUCCUCGCCCUCGCCCUUGCCCUCGUCCACGCACCCCCCACCUUCCUCGCCUCCAACCCCGCUAAGGCCGCGCCACGACUUUUUUUUUUUUUUUUUUUUUCUUUCUUUUCUUCUCCGACUCUUCUCGACGUCUUAUCUACAGUUACGACGAUUACCUCUCUGUCCUUCCCCCUUCUCAUCUCUUCCCUCUCCCUCAUUCUCUGCCGCUCGACGACGAUGCAUCUUCGCCGGCGCCGACGUCGACACCCGUGGAGCGUCACUGCGCUCCACAGGUCGCGAAGCGGGGUCCUUAGCGCGUGUCAGUCGCCGGCACCGGGCCUGUUUCCAGAGAAGGUGACAAAAAAAAAUUAUAGAAAAAACAAGAAAAAAAAAAAAAAUAAAGAUAAAAAAAAAAAAAAAAAAAAGAAAAAAAAAGAAAAAAAAAAAUAAAAAAAAAAAAAAAUUAAAAAAAAAAAAAAAAAAAAAAAAAAAAAAAAAAAAAAAAAAAAAAAAAAAAAAAAAAAAAAAAAAAAAAAAAAAAAAAAAAAAAAAAAAAAUUAUAAAAAAAAAAAAAAAA
rnacentral:lncRNA from 1 species